UUUUUUUUUUUUUUUUGUUUCUGCUUCUUUCCUUGGUUCCAUGGUUCCAUAUGAGUCAGUUGUGGCAUUAGGUGUAGGGCAUCUAGGGUUUAGACAUUAUCUCUCUCAAAAAUUAUCCACCAUUUCUUGUCUUCUUCCUUGGUUUCACUUUUUUCUUCUCCUUCAUCUUGAACCCUCUACUCUUUUCUCAUUCUUUCCUUUCUAUUUUCUUCCCUCUUAUCUUUCUUUUCUUCUUUUUUCUUCCUUCUUUCUCCCUAUUACCAAGGGAUCUUUCUUCUCUAAUAAUGUUUUGGUUAAAUUAAUUAUAACCCUCAGUGAUUUUACAUAAUGCCAAAUGACCCCUCUAAAGGUUUAAAAUAGCCAUAUAACCCUCUUAUGAUUUUAUGUAAAGUGAAAAAUAGGCGGAAUGCAUAAUUAGUUAUGGCGUUUAUCCCAAACGCACUCUAAAAGUGUUUGUAAUAAAAUUUUAAUCUCCAUGAAACUCUCUUUUGAUUUGUAUAAGUAUUUACUUUACCCUUUGUGGUUUCUGCAUUUAUCCAUGUAAUCCAAUCAUACUUUUAUACAAGGUGUCGCGCCCCAUUUUUUGAUAAAUAAAUAAAAUGGUUUAAAAAAUGUAUUUUUUGAUUCAAUUUGUGAUUGGAAAAUGAAUUGUGAUUUAAAAGAAAAAUGGGUCUAAAUGGGGGUUUGAAAAUGCGACGAUUUGACCCAAAAUUAUAGUUUAAAAAGGGUUUUUGAAAAAAUGGGAGUCGCCACUUGGUAAUGAGUUAAGGUGUACCAAGUCACCUAAAAAUGAAUUUUUUAGGAAAAAGUUGUAAGAAACCCCUUUUAAACGACUCCUAGUCUACGUAAACCAAUGAAAAAGGUUCGGGAGUCACAUUUGACGAAGGGGAAGGCAAGGAUAAAAAUCCAAGGCACCCCUUCGACCUAGUCAAGGCUAGUUGCGUUGAUUUAAUCAAAGAUUUUCUUGUUUUAACCAAAGAAUUUAUUACACUUGGAUGUACUACAUGAAUGCAAAACCCUAGACCUAGGGGUAUUGGGGGAAAUUUCCCUUCAAAGGUUGAGUGGUGCCAAUCACAUUAAUUGUGAAGCCCAAUAACGAUCCUUUGAAGAAGUCACGAAUAAUGCGAGUGGGAUGCAAAUGAAUGGAAUGCAUGUAUGCAAUGUGAGGAUAUGUGAAAUGAGAAGAAUAAUAAAAAUAAUGGGAUGCAAGUGGAGGUGUGCAAAUGUAUUUACAAGUGUUUGUGUGCAAGUGAAGGGAUAAAAGGUGUACGUGUGCAAAUGGGAGAAAAAAAUGAAAGUGUAAUGAUAGAGUGGACUUAGAAUGCAUGAGCCUAGGGAAUUCAUGCAUAUUGGGACGGGGAGACCUAAAUCGUGACUCAAUUUGCCCUUUUAUAGAGGGAAUACAAGCGUGCUAAGGCUUAGAGAAAGCCACACUCGUCUAUAUCCCAUAUUUAGGGGGACUCUCAAGCAAAUGAACCUUAUAACUAGCAUGAAAUGCAAAAAUCCUAAAAUGGAGGGAAAAGGGGUUCGAGGGGCAUGUAAAAUGAUAAAACUAAAAAGAAUGCAUGACAUGUAAUGAACAUGCAAACAUGUACUAACGAGGAGAAAUCCCUAAGGGUCUAGCGUUGGACUAGCCCAUUCUAUGAAUUCCGACUAGCGUUGGACUAGUGGAAACGUACAUUCAUCCAUUCCAUUCAUCCACAUUAUAAAAAGCGAGUAGACAUGUGAAUCACUUAUAAACACGUAGCACAUAACAUUUAGCAUGCUUGACUAGAUGCAAGGACCUAAUAAAGCGAUUAAACACUUAACACGUAGGCAUGCAACCAAACUAAUGAACCUAUUACAUUCACUAACUAAAACAAAAAGGGAAGGGGAAAAUGGACCAAAUUGCUCGCCACAGCCCUAUCUAUUACAAGCCAAGAGGUGUACACAUACCCCAUUAAAAGAAUAAGUUAAUAAAGCAAAAGUAAAUGAAAGGAAUGAAAGGAAUUAAAGAAAUGUAAAGAAAGCAAAGUAGACAUGCAAUUCACUUAGCACCUUGGAUCAUAUAAGAGAGACAAACAAAGAUAAAAGAAAGUUAUACCUCAUCGCAAUGGUAAGCAAAUGAUGGAAAAUGGCUUCAAAACAAAAAAAGGGGUCAAGGCACCAAUUGAAUAGUAAAGUAUAAGGAAAAUCACCAAAAUUCCCCUAAUUGCAACUCAAAUGAAAUCACACAGUGCCUAAUUACCAAGAAAGUGGAAUGAUCCAUCAAAUUCCCAAAAAUAGCAACUAUUAAGGACCCAAUUGCAAUAUUAAUCAAUCACCCAAACCCAAUUCAAACAUUUUAGGAAAUUCAAGGGUCCAAAAGCAAAGAGAGAGGCAAGUAAUGACUCAAAAUGCACCCAUCUUAGGACCUAAUUGCAAGACAUUGGAAUGUAAUUGGGCCAUAAUGCAUUGCUGCAAAAAUCACAGGGACUCAAUUGAUUAGUUUUCUCAAUUUUGUGGGUCAUAAUAGCAUAAAGAGAAACUUGAGGGGGUUAAGAGGCAAUUUUGAAGAAUUAUUUCAUGCAUGCUACGUAGAAACUUAAGAUUCUGCAACUAAACCAAAAGCUACUCCCUUUUAUUUUCCAAAGCUUCGGCAAUGUCCAACAACAAUUACAUCCAUUUCAUCAUACAAACAAAUUCAUCAAACCAGAAAUUGUUGACUAAAUCAAAGCAUGAAAUUUGUUUGCAGGAUUAAGAUGGCAAAUCUGAUUUUGAUCGACAACAAAAGAAAGAAAGAAAACUGCAGCAAGGUUUCUUUCUCUGCAACAUGCUGGGUUUCUCAAAUGCAAUUUCAUAUCCAUCCAAACAUAAGUAGUGGCUCCAAUCAACUAAACCAGGGAUCAAAGUGAGAAGAUAACCACACAUUUUUCCACUUUUAGACAUGACACUUCAGUACAGAAUUCGUAGGAAAAGAAUAUGUUCAAUCUAAAAACGAAUUUCUGCAACUUUCUUGACUAUGCUUUGAAAUUUCAGCAAUCUCAUGCGGCCAGAUUCAAGGAUCAUAUCAAACAAGGAUCCAGCCGAAAACACAUACUAAGCAUACAAGGGAAAAGGAAAGAAUUGGGCGACAUUACUACAAGCAAACAAGCCAAGGCCAUACAAACUGCAGGUUUAAAGACCAGAAAUUCAUGCAAUUACAAAGAAUCAACGUUCUGCAAUUUUGAUGCAGAAAAUUCGUGUCAGGCUUGAACCAAAGUCAACAGACCCAUCACUCGAAACUCUUAACAACAAUGAAUAUUUUGAUUAACACAACCUAAUUGUAAACACCAAACCAUUGAAACCCCAAACGAGGCGUCAAAUGAGCAAUACAGAAGCCACAACUAGAUUCUUGGGUUUAUCUUUAACAAGCUCCGCAUGAGUCAUCCAAAUCAAAAGCUACCCAUGUCACAAACUCAAUCAAACAUCACAUAACCCUAAAAUUAGAUCUACAAAUGAUCCUAAUCAAAACAAGACCAUACAACCUCAGGUUUCGAACAAGAGAAACGGCAAAUUAAGCUAGCAUGGAGGAACCAGAAAUGAAUGGAAACAAAAAGCGUAGACAGCCACAGCAAGCAAGAAAUUCAAAACCACGACUCAACAAAGAACGAAAAGGAAAGGGACUAAGACACCAAUCUAGGAGAGUACCUACCCGAGCCUUUUUGGAUCAAAAUCCGGACAGGAGAACGCCGUGAAAGAACUGCUGCAGUCGUCCCUUUGCGGUUUCGAAACCGCACCAGUGGAACCGAGCUGUGGAUUUUGGAGCUGAAUUUGGGAGCCUUCCCAACGUUGUUUGUGAAAGUAAUCUGAACAAAGCUUCUUCUAUUAACUACCUAAUGUGUGCAGAAACUGAAAUCUCCUCCAAUUGAGCAAUCAGAAAAAAGAUAAUCACGCUGCGAGCGGUGCCGAAAACCAGCCCGUUCGGAUGAAAUUUUUGGCAGAAAAAUGUUUCUGGUUUUGUUUUUUUUUCUUCCAAACUCAGCCGUCGUUCUACUCUCGGACUCUCCCUCGAUCGUUUCUUUUCCUCGGCCCAAAGUUCCCUUCUUUCUUCCCCGGCUUCCUUGUUUCUUUUCUGGCAGCCCGAAGCUCGCUUUCCCGUCGCUCUCUUUUCACUCUAUCUCUCUCUCGGCCCCUUUGGUGUUGCCCGUCGCUCUUUUCCAGUUUCAGUCACCUCUCUUGCUGCUGCCGAAAGCCCUCUUCUCCUCUGCCUUUUCUCUCUAAACCCUCACGGCUGAUCCUUCCUUCCUACUUGCCCAAAGCCCGUAACCUUCCUUUUGCUGGUUCUCCUUUUCCCGUCACACACACUCUCUACUUCCUCAAGAUUUUUCAGCCGCCACUCUACUCAGCUCUCUGUAUGCUCUCGGUUCCCUCUCUUUCACUCUCUCAGCCUAUCCGUCUCUACCUCUCAAACUCUCAGUUUUUCAAUCUUAGCCGUCACUUUUUUUUUCUCUCUGCCGUCAGUCACUCUAUCUUCUUACUCUCUCCCUUCUCUCUGCCAUCUGUUUUUUUUUCUCUUCCCCUUUUGCUUGUUUCUGAUCUUUCUUUUUGCUUGCAGCCGUCACGUACUCUCUCUCUGUAUGCUCCCCCUGUCGGCUGCUGCCCCAAAAAUGCAACCUCUCUUCCUCUCGGUUUUCUUCCUCAGAAACUCUCCGUAGCUUUUCUUUUUCUUUGCUGUUGUCGACCUUCACUCCCCUUUUGCGGCUAUCCUUCCUCUGUCCAUUUAUAUCAGCAAAACCAACCCUAAAACAACUCAGCCCUCUUGCCAUAUUUGCAGCUAAGGGCCGCUAAAUCCUUUGUUUGCAAGCUGCGUAAAAACGCAGCUUGCAGCCGCGUAUCAUCUUUUUUUUUUUUUUUUUUUCUUUCGAAACUAUUAAUACCAAACGAUAACAUAUAAAUAAUAACAAAUUAACAAAAUUGACAACAAAACCUAAAUAAUAAUAAUAAUGAAAACAAAUUAAAAAAAACAAAUUAAACAAAUAAAAACAACAAAAAUGGCCAUUUUCAAUUUUUCUUCAUUUUCCCUUUUUUUUUUUUCUCUUUCAAAAUAAAUAAACAAAAUGCCAACAGAUUGAACUUAAAAGAAAUGCACGUAUUUUUGUGAACCAUUUUCUUUUUUUUCCUUUUUUUUUUAUUAUUUUUCAUUUUCAUUCUCAUUUUUGCCAUUUUUCCAAGAAAACAUUGAAUUUAAAUCAAAACAAGUAAAACAUAUAUUUAUAUAUUUUUUUUUUGAAUGCUUUUCUUUUCUUUUCGAGAAAUCCUAUGCUAAAAACUUAAAAAUAAUAAUAAUAACACAAAAAAAUUAAAAAAACUAAAAACUAAAAAGUGAAUAAAACGAGCACAAACUAAAAAAAAAAUAAAUAGUAAAUGAAAUUACACCAAAAUUUGGUGUCUACAGUUUGCCCCUCUUUGUCUGAGUUUUGAAAAAACUUGAGACAAAGAAGUAGACACCAAAUACUUACCUGUGUUAUUGGGCUGCAAAAGAUUCCCACGAACAGGAAUUAUAACACGGGACUGACCCGAACAUGAAAAAUAAAACGGGACUGACCCGAUCCAGAAUUGAAAACAGGACUGACCCGAACAUGAAAAAUAAAACGGGACUGACCCGAACAGGAAUUUAAAACGGGACUGACCCGAGCAGGAAUUUAAACGGGACUGGCCCGAACAGAAUUUAAACGGGACUGACCCGAACAGAAAUUUAAACGGGACUGAUCCGAACAAGAAUUUAAACGGGACUGACCCGAACAGAAUUUAAACGGGACUGACCCGAACAGAAAUUUAAAGUUAUGAAUUGAAGUGAGAUGGAGUCUUAGUGGGAUUGACCCAUGUUUACUGGUGAUGUAAAUGAAAGAAGUGAAAUGAAAUGUUAAUGGGACUGACCCAUGUUUGUUAGUGAUGCAAAUAAAAUGCUCACUGGCGGGACUAACUCACGCUCCAGUGGCUGUGAAAACGGAAUGCUCACUAGUUGGGACAAACCAAACGGCUAGUGGCGAAUGCAAAUGAAAGGCACACUAGUGGGACAAACCCAACGGCUAAUGGCGAUGAAAAUAAAAGGCACACUAGUGGGACACACCCAACGGCUAGUGGCAAUGAAAAUAAAAGGCACACUAGUGGGACACACCCAACGGCUAGUGGCGAAUGCAAAUGAAAGGCACACUAGUGGGACAAACCCAACGGCUAAUGGCGAUGAAAAUAAAAGGCACACUAGUGGGACACACCCAACGGCUAGUGGCAAUGAAAAUAAAAGGCACACUAGUGGGACACACCCAACGGCUAGUGGCGAAUGCAAAUGAAAGGCACACUAGUGGGACACACCCAACGGCUAAUGGCGAUGAAAAUAAAAGGCACACUAGUGGGACACACCCAACGGCUAGUGGCAAUGAAAAUAAAAGGCUCACUAGUGGGACAAACCCAACGGCUGGUGGCCAAUGUAAUUAAAAGGCACACUAGUGGGACAAACCCAACGGCUAGCGGUGAUGAAGAUGAAAGGCUCACCAGUGGGACAAACCCAACGGCUGGUGGCAAUGAAAAUAAAAGGCUCACCAGUGGGACAAACCCAACGGCUGGUGGCAAAUGCAAUUAAAAGGCACACUAGUGGGACAAACCCAACGGCUAGCGGCGAUGAAGAUGAAAGGCUCACCAGUGGGACAAACCCAACGGCUGGUGGCAAUGAAGAAUGAAAUGCUUACUGGCGGGACAAACCCAGCUCCAAUGGCAAUGUAAAUGAAAUGUUUUGACAAUCAGACAGUGGGAUUAAACUUGAGCCUGUCGUGAUGAAAUUUGAUUUGAUUUUUUGAUUGAUGAUUUUCUUUUCUUUUUGCUUUUCUUUUUGACUUUUGAGAAUCUUUCCAAAAAAUUAAUUUGCCCCAGUAUGAUGAAUUUUUGCAAUGUGAGUCCAGAGUCGAUUCUGUAUCGCCAUGCUGUUGCAUUUUGACGAAAUUUGCUUGCGACAUUUUCAAUCUGCCUUUGUUCACCAGAGGACUCCUUCCAACAUCGAUUCCAGUGCGAGGUGUGAUUGUUUUCAUCUGUGCCUGCAAUUUUCUGCAAAAGAGAAAAAACAAAAGAAAUUGCCACCAUCAUUUGCCCCGUUUUCCUUUGAGAAUCGUGUAAACAUGAGUCUUUCGACGCCUUUAUCAACUUUUGCUACGACAGCCGAUUGAGUUGGAUUUCUCGCCCUAAGGCUUUUCCGAUUUUCAAACUGACCAGGUAUAUGCUUUGCCAUAUUAUGAAGUUUGUGUAGCUGGCUUGGCGGGAUUUCAACUGUUUCCAAAGGAUGACUGAAUCCAAGUAUACUUUUUGAAAUAAAUCACAGGGAUUGUCAUUUAUCACAAUUCAACGAUAAAAAAUGAGGUAUGCAAGAAAAUUCACAUGUCAUGUAAAAAUGAAUAUGCACAAGAAUGCACAUACAACCAUGUGUGCUUAAAUUCUAAAAAAAAUGUCAUGAAUACAAGUAAUUUGGGAAAAAAUGAGUUUCCUAAGAAUGUAUGUGCAAAAGAAUGUUUUUUCCAAAAUGACACAGCUUUGGCCAACGGAUGUCAUAUUCAAGUCUCUGGAUAUCUUAGUUCCGGAAUUCAAUGUUGCCAGAGGUAUGACAAAAAUGAGAAGAAAUCUAAAUGGACCAAACCACCAGUUGUUCCUCUUUGUGCUUUCUCAUUGCAGAAACCUACCUUAGCGCCCAUUCGGGUUUUCACCAAGGUUGCCCCCACCCUUUUUGUUGGUUUUUUCUUUCUUUUUCUUUUUUUCUCUUUUCCUUCUUUCUUUUUUCCUUUCCCUUGAGGUGCCCUUGUGGGUUUUCACCUAAGGAAACAAUGGAAGAGCUCAACCAUAGUCGACUCAGGAAUGUAAGUUGAAGAUUGCUGGCAUCAGUAAAAUGCGCUUCCCUUAUAAACUUAAACGAAGGCAUUAUGGACAUCACCUGCCAGUUGAUUAGCAAAAUCCCUAAUAGAAAUGCAGCAAGUGACGAAAGCCUGGACUUUGGGCUUUUGUAAUGAGGUCAGGUGGGGUGUUUUUCAAGAAAAGUUGAGGCUUGAAAGCAGGUUUGAUGAAAGGUGUGAAAUAACCUGAGAUUGCAUCAUUUUGAAAUUAUCUCUAAUUUUGAACAAAACCGAGGAAAUUUGCCCCAGUUUGAUUGGAUUUUCUCUUUCUUUGCAUUUUCUUCAUUGCAUUUUUCUCACUUUUUGCAUUUUCCUUCAAAACUAAAUUUGCCCCAGUGUAGGGUUCUUUCUUUUCCCAUAUCUCUUUCAAAGAUAAAUUUGCCCCAGUGUGGGGUUUUCUUUUCUUUCUGAUCAUUUUUCAAAAUGAAUUUGCCCCAGUGUGGGGUUUGCAAUUCUCAGGAGUUGCGAAACGAAAAUUAUUGUUCUGAUAGUUCAAAGGGGAUGACUAGGGAUGAAAUGUUUUGAUUGGAAAGGAAAAUGGCCUGACUUUUGCCUCGCCCUUUGCAUGAUUUCCUAAAAGAAACUUUGCAUAAUCAAAUAAAGAACAUCUUACACAUGUCCGAGUUGAUAGGUUGAGAGAAUGUCUGUCCUUCCAUCUCUCCUUUGAACACCCAAUAAGCUUUGCCGAUUUGAAGCAAAUUUGCCUUCGACUUCGUCUUUCAUCGCUUUAGCACUUUGUUUCCUUCUUCAGAAGAUCGGUGGCGGAUCCUUUUGUUAUGAACAUAGGCCAUGCGUUUUGACAACAUUGGUCAUGGCACAUAGCAUUAUCAAUCAGAAUCAAUCGUUAAUGAUACUGCUUUGACCAAUCAACUUUUAACCUGGCUGGAAAGGAAGGAAUUUUCUCAAAUGAAGGAAUUUCCAAAUGAAAGGAUUUUUCAAUGAAGGCUUUUUCAAAGAAGGGAUCUCUUAAUGAAGGCCUUUUCAAAGCAGGGAUUUCUCCAUGAAGGGUUUUCUCAAUGAAGGCUUUCUCAAAGAAGGGUUUUUUCAAUGUAUAGUCUCAAAGAAAGGAUUUCUCAAUGAAGGGAUUUUUCAAUGAAGGCUUCAUCGGAUUCCAGAACAGUGAUAUUCAAAGGGUCAAAUAAUUUUAUUUUGGCCAUCGAAAGAAUUUAGAAUGAAAUUGAACCAAUAAACAAUCAAUAUAAACAAAAUGGUGUUAACAAAAUAAUGAAAAGAUGUGACUAUGCAUGCUAUCGAAAGAAAACAACAUGGGAGCUUGAUAAUGCAAAAAAUGCUUUAGUCAAAACUUAAUUUAACAUGAUAAAACUAUUUACUCAAAAGCAAACGGUGACGAGUUUCAUGAAGUUUAACAAAUAACAAUCCCUGGAUUCAUCCCAAAUUCCCUUUGCGAGAGAAGAUACUUGGCAAUCCAAUUGUGCAAGGUUUCUUCAAGAUUUUCAAAUGUCUUCAUUGGAAGUGGAUGCCUCAAAGGUGUCCUUGUGUUCAGGAAAAGGAUUUGUAUUUAUGCUCGGUCCUUGUCCACCUUUCUUUUUUAGCACUAUUUCACCUGCCUCGAUCAUGUCUUGGACUCUAUGCUUAAGUGCUCUACAGUCAAUAGUUGGGUGGCCGGGUGCUCCCGAAUGAUAGGCACAAGUGUACUGCGAAUCGUAGUUGGCAGGGACGCCAUGAGGGUGAGAUGGAGGGGGAAUUACGCUGAUUUUACCGGCAGCUUUUAAUUGUUCGUACAAUUGGUCCAAGGGCCUGCCAAGAUUGGUAAAGGUACGAUAAUGGUUUUGUUUUUGGGGUUCAAUGGGUCGGGGGUAAUUAUAGGUGGGCCUACUUGGUGGAGGGAAUUGUUGAUUAUAGGGAGGUCGGGGUCGAACUUGUUGGAAGUUAGGUUGAGAUAUUUGAAAAGGGGCCAUAGGAGAGUUGUUGUAGUUAGGCCGAGGUCGAGGAUGAAUGGUAUUGGUGUGAUAAACAGGAUGAGGGCUUGAAUAGUAAGGGUUUGAGUAGGUAGGGUAUUGUCGAGAUCUGGGUCUUGGAAUAGGGCUUCGAUUCCAGACAAAAACAGUUUCCCCCUCUUGCCUUUUGGACUGUUGCUUCUUCCCAUUACUACCUUGGCUUUGCAGAGCAUCCAACUGCGAUUUGAGGGCAGACACAUUAACAAUCUUUCCAGCUUUCACGAAAUCAUCAAAUUCUUCAAGUUUAUUAACAAUUGCGGCAAAUGAGCAUCCAGUCAUGCGGAAAAUUUCUUCAAAGUACGGCGGAUCAUGUGCCUUAAUGAAAGUUCGUAUGAUUUCGUCCUCCGUCAUUGGUGGCUCGACUUUUGCAGCUACUUUCCUCCACCUCUUAGCAUAAGUCUUGUGAUCCUCGGAGGGUUUCCUCUUUGUCCCUUCCAACGUGGUUCGUGUUGGAGCCAACUCGCAAUUAUACUCAUAUUGCCUUACGAAAGCCUUGGACAAGUCAAUCCAGGUUCUUACGUCUUCAGGUUUCAGAUUUGAAUACCAGUCAAGUGCGUCCCCUUCCAGACUUUCAGGGAACAACCUUAGAGGCAAGUUUUCAUCGUCCACAGGCUUUCCCAAUUUGUUUGCAAAUAGUCGGAGGUGCGUCUUGGGAUUACCCGUCCCAUCGUAUUUGUUAAACUUAGGAGUUUUGAACCCCUCAGGCAGUUGCACAUUCGGAAAGAGACACAGCUCAUCGUAAUCCAAAAUUCCUUGCUUGUUCAGCACCUGACUUUUCCUCAUGAAUUCAUCGAAACGGUCCAGGCGCUUUAAUAACUUCACAUCAAUGGGAGCAGAGGAUCCUCCCACCUCUGGUUUGGUUUGAAUAAAAUGGUCCGGCAGAUAAGGCUCAGUGGUGGGGUAAUAAAAAGCUUGUGUCUCAGGUGGUAUAUUUGCAGUGACUUGAGGUUGUGGGCCUUGCAUAUGAGUAGGGAAAAAUGAAGGAUUAGAAGGGUAAGUGUAUGGCAGAUGAACGGUGGGGUAGGUGAAAGUCCCUUCGGGUGGACCUUGCAUGGGAACAGUAGUUUGAACUGUAGGAAUAACAAAGGGUUCAGAUUGCAAUUGUAUUACGUGGGGAAGCUCCGGCUGUACCCCGCUACUGACAAGCUCAUCUAUUAAUUUCUUUUGGGCGGCCAUUUCAGAGGCCAUUUCCCCAAACUUAGCAAGUAACUCGGCCAACUGGACUCCAGGACUCGUGACUUCCGGCUGUGUAGUCGCUGUAGUCUUGUCGGAUGAUUCUGGUUGAAUAUUCAUGUUUACACGAUUCCUUUGAGCUUUACUUCGGGAUCGCGUAAUAAUGGGGCUUUUCCGGAAAGUUAUUUUUGGAAAUUUUACCUGAGAAUGCAAAAGACUGCUUUAAAUAAACCAAUCGUUAUUGAAUUUCUGCAAUUUAUUCAAAAAAGAAAAAGAAAAAGACAUGAGUUAGUAACUAUUCGAACAAUUCGGAUGCAUGUCCUAUGGGGGGACCCUUUUUGUGCCAAGGGUAGGCCUAGCAUGAAAAUGCAAUCCUCUGAGGUAGGCACUAUACCAUACCUGAUGGAUCUGAUCAACUCAUUGAGUGAAAAUAAUUUUUUGAAAAAUUUGGUCAAUUGGAGUGAGAAGAGACGAUGGUCAAAAUGAGGACCUCGUCCGAAGGGAUUGAUCACUUUUGAUCGAUACAAGAAUUGGCAAAAACGCGCAGGUUUGACCUUGACGAACUUCCUAUCGAAGAGAUUGGAAUUCCUUGAUAAAAUUUUCUCAGUGAAACGCGGGUCAAAAUUCCAACUGAUCAAAUGUCUUGAUGCAAUGAAUGGUUUUCUCAAAAAUCGACUAAGUUUUGAAAUUGAAAUUCGUCAUUGAAACCCUACUCGGUCAAUUGGGUUGAACGAAAUUGACAAUUUUAUUUAAAAUCGACCGCAUUACCCUAAAAAGGGAAUCGGGUCAAAUGAAUUGAGUGAAAUUUAAAAACUUACUCAAAAUUGACCGAAUCAUUCUAAAAAAGGGAUUUGGUCAAAUGAAAUCGAGAAUUUAUUCAAAAUUGACCGGAUCGCCCUAAAAGGGUAAACUGGUCAAAUGAAUCGGACGAAAUUAAUGAUUUACUCGAAAUCGAUAAGAUCGCCCUAAGAAUGGAAAAAUUGGUGAUUUAUUCAGAAAAUCGACUAGAUGAAGAUUUAUUCAAAAAUCGACCAAAUGACCCUAAAAAGGGUAAAUUGGUCAAAUGAAUUGACGAUUUAUUCAAAAUCGACCGGAUGACCCUAAAAAGGGUAAAUUGGUCAAAUGACCCUAAAAAGGGUAAAUUGGUCAAAUGGGACCCUAAAAAGGGUAAAUUGGUCAAAUGAAUUGACGAUUUAUUCAAAAUUGACCGGAUGACCCUAAAAAGGGUAAAUUGGUCAAAUGAAUUGACGAUUUAUUCAAAAUUGACCGGAUGACCCUAAAAAGGGUAAAUUGGUCAAAUGAAUGGAUGAUUUUUCAAAAAUUGACCGGAUGACCCUAAAAAGGGUAAAUUGGUCAAAUGACCCUAAAAAGGGUAAAUUGGUCAAAUGAAUUAAUUUAUUCAAAAUUGAUUAGGAAUUGACAAAAUGGAUCGAUUGAAUCGUUCGGCCAUUGGUGGUUUCAAAAAAUUAGUCUAUGAGCCUUCUAAAAUCACGAUUUGGCCUCAGUUUAUUAACUGUCUCAAUGAUAAGGAAUUAUUUGUGAAUUUCUUCAAAUUAAUGUCCUUUACGCAAGGGAUUUUUACCAAUUUUUGAUAAAAUGGCCAAAAAGUGAUUAUUAGAUGCUCAUAUUCCAAAGAUUACUCUAUGAAAAUGAUCGGAUCCUACCUUACCUUGUACACUACCCCUUUGGAUGGUACAAAAUGUAAACGUGCAAGUCUCACUGGAUUAAGUAUCCGAGACACAAAGGUGGCUUAUUCCUAAUGCGGGAUCCCCUAAAUGGCAUUCCCUUUCUAGGUUUUAUGCAUGAUGCCAUUUAUUAAAGCGGUAAAAUGUGCAAUUCGAAAUGAAACGUGACCUAAAAGAACCUUUUAUAUGCCAAGGUGGGCUUAGAAUGCUAUGCAAUUAUUAAUCUAUGAAUGCAAUAUACCAAAAUCUUUAAACGUGCAAUAACCUACCUACGAGGGUAGGUUCCUAAAAAAAAUGUCAUGCCAGACCUCUUAUUUGCUAGGGUUGUGAAUGCAAAAACAAGAAACAAGAAAAGUUAGUUCCACAUUUAAUCACAUAACACGUUGGACAAUUAAAUGAUAAAAAACAGGAAAAGUAAAUAAGGAAAAGGAUGGGAUCCCUCCCCUCGUGAAUGGUGUCCCUAAUAGGGUAAGGCAGACUCUACCCUAGGUGAACUAUAUGGAUGCAUGAGGUUGGGGUUCACUAAUGCAUCUAACUCGAUAAGCUCAGGUCCCCAAGCCUUCAGACUUAGGGCCAAGGGUCAUCAAUUCCAUGGCCCUUUGUCGGUGGCUCGAGCGAUUCCCCAAACACCGCUACGCACACGUCGUGUCACGGCCGCAUGUUUGAGUGAAUCUAUAAAAAACCUCAACUUUCGACUAAAAACUAAGGAUAUUAACCCAAAGUUUAAAGCGGAAGAGUGAGUGACCCAUUGGAUCGUGCUACGCACACGUCGUGUCACGGUCACACGUCCAAGUGGGUCUCCUAAUCCUAAUAGGGUGGAGUGGCGUGACAAGCCACUAAAAAGAAAAAUAAAAGGGGAUGAUAGGGUGGAGUGGCGUGACAAGCCACUAAAAAGAAAAAUAAAGGGGGAUGAAUAGUAAAGCGUAUGCGCGUAUGAUAGUGCACGUUUUGGAGGGGAGGGAUCGAGAACCAAUGCGUGGCUCUAAGGGUGACACACACCCCCCCAAGUGCAAUGACAAGCGCGGAAUCACAUACAAACAUCCAUUCAUCAAAACAAUCAUAGGCGAACGUGUGAGGAAGUGAGUUGAUACGUGAAAUGCAAAAAUCCUAGAAAAGGGAAAAAUGCAACCCUAAACAUCCAAUGUGAUAAAUAAAAAGGUUUAAAAGAAGAAAAAGAUUGAUUAAAUCGAUUGCUCGGACUCUCAAGUCCCCAGUGGAGUCGCCAACUGUCCCGCCCCAUUUUUUUGAUAAAAUAAAUAAAUGGUUUAAAAAAAUGUAUUUUGUGAUUGGAAAAUGAAUCGUGAUUUAAAAGAAAAAUGGGUCUAAAUGGGGGUUUGAAAAUGCGGGCAUUGUCAACUACUUCCAGACCGCGAAGAGUGAUGCCAUUUGGAGGACCGUCCUUCUCUGCUACGUUUGUUGGUGUUGAAUCAAUGAAUAAGGAGCCAUCGCAACCCUGAAAGCCUUAUUAAAUUAGUACUAAUUGCUUGUUUAUGUCAUACACUUCGCAUACUUUUGUGACAAGAUGAAAACCUGAAACAAACUAGUUUCCUUGAAAAAACUUAUCACUUGGGAGGCAUUACCCGAACAAAGCAAUCGUGGAAAUGAGCUCUGACGAGACCAGGAGCAAUUCCUUUAUCUUUGAGAAAGGCUUUGAGGACUUCUUCCCAUAUGAUUGAUUCUGCGCGAGGACAUCUACUGUUGUAGAAUCCCACUACUAGUUGUGCCUUAAUUUGAGAACUCAGGCAUAAAACAGUUGCUAACAGUGCAGCCAGCAGUGCCAUUUUUUGUUCUUGAUAGUGAUAUGGACCUAUGUAACUACAAGAGUUAUAUAUAGAAAUCCAUCUCCAUCACCAGGAAAACUAGCAAUUUCCAAGGCCAUAACGGCUUCAAAACAGAUAGCACUGGAAACAAGAGGAAAUGCCAAAUUUCGAGUUAAGUCCAUUCUUCACUCACGGUUAGCAGGUGUGGCCUAGAUCCCUAUUUCAUGCUUGCUUAGAAAGGAGAUUCAUUUCCCAUGACAAUAAAGAAUGAUUUGCAAAUGAUCUUAAAUGACUCUCAUUUACUAGUUACUGGACUGGCCAAUUCCUUGUUUUAUCACAGACAUGCAGAAAUCCUAGUUGUAUAAGCUCUAACCCCAGUUUUUAAAGCUGCUAUUUCUUUAUUUAAUUUCUUGUUUGCUACUUAGAUGUUUAUCAUUCAACUUUUCUUAGUUUCAACUGAAAUGCAAGAAUUAUGGCAAAGAAUGACUGUCUUCUUUUCUCUUUUUCCCUGCGAGAAAAGAAGGAUUUUAUAGGGUAAUUUAACGUAACAUAUAUAGUGGUUGACUGAAUUUGUUUCUAAAAUGCGUACCUUUUGCCCUACCAGAAAUUUUUUAGGAAUAAUAUGCUUGUCAUGCCAAUAUUUGAUCUUUUCUUUAUAAAUUUUGGCAUUUUCAUAUGCAUGUAGUCGGUGUUCCUCCAAUUCACUUAGCUCAAGUAAUCGUUUUUCUCCUGCAAAAUUACAAUCCAUGUUAAUAGAUUUAAUUGCCCAAUAAGCUUUGUGCUCAAUCUCCACAGGUAGGUGACAAGCUUUCCCAUAGACUAAACGAUACGGUGACAUCCCUAGGGGUGUCUUAAAUGCCGUUCGGUAAGCCCAUAGUGUAUCAUCUAGCUUUGUAGCCCAAUUCUUGCGUGAUUUAUUCACAGUUUUCUCCAAAAUGAGCUUUAUCUCUCUAUUAGCUAGCUCUGCUUGUCCAUUGGCUUGAGAAUGAUAUGGAAGUGAUGUCUUGUGCCUACAACCAUAUUUAAACAAUAAGGAAUCCAAUUGUCUGUUACAAAAAUGUUUCCCUUCAUCACUUACUAUGGCCUUGGGUAUACCAAAUCUACUGAAAAUAUUCUUUUUAAGGAAUCUAAGUACAAUUUUAGAGUCAUUAGUAGGUGAAGCGAUUGCUUCAACCCAUUUAGAAACAUAAUCCACUGCUACUAAGAUGUACUUAUUAUUAAAAGAACUAGGAAAUGGUCCCAUAAAAUCAAUAUCCCAUACAUCAAAUAACUCAACUUCCAAGAACGUAGUCAGGGGCAUUUCAUUCUUUCGAGAUAUAUUUCCAGUUCUUUGGCAUGCAUCACAAUUUUUAACAUAUUCCCUAGCAUCUUGGUACAUAGUUGGCCAAUAAAAUCCUGAUUGCCAUACCUUUGCCACAGUCUUUGAAGUACUGAAAUGACCACCUGUUUCAAGGUUAUGACAAUGAUAUAAAACAUUAUGUACCUCAUCUUCAGGAAUACAUCUACGUAUCAUACCAUCGGCACAAUGUCUGUAUAGCAAUGGUUCCUCCCAAAAGUAACUUUUUACGUCAUGUAAGAAUUUCUUCUUUUGAUGAUAAUUAAAUCCCUUUUGAAUCUCUCCACUGACCAAGUAGUUAGCAAAAUCUGCAUACCAUGGAGAAUUUCUAAGUGCUAGGACAAACUCAUCCGGAAAAUUCUCUUGAAUUGGAACCUGAUCUUUGAUUGGGAUAUAUUCCAAACGUGAUAAAUGAUCUGCAACUAGAUUCUCCGAUCCCUUUUUGUCUUUUAUCUCCACAUCAAAUUCCUGCAAUAAAAGAAUCCACCGAAUUAGUCUAGGUUUUGCAUCAUUCUUAUGCAGCAAAUAUUUAAGAGCUGAAUGGUCCGUAUAUAUAAUGACUUUAGAUCCUACUAAAUAGGAUCUAAAUUUGUCCAAAGCAAAUAUCACUGCCAAUAGCUCUUUUUCUGUCGUUGCAUAAUUGAGUUGAGCCUCAUUUAGCAACUUGCUAGCAUAGUAAAUGACGUGCAAUCGUCCUUCUUUCUUUUGUCCCAAAACUGCUCCAACUGCAUAAUCACUUGCAUCACACAUCAAUUCAAAUGGUAUUGACCAAUCUGGUGAAGUUAUAAUUGGGGCAGAAAUCAAUUCCUUCUUCAACCUUUCAAAUGCAACCAAACAAUUGUCAUCAAAUUGAAAAGGAGAAUCUUUACAUAAUAAAUCACAUAAUGGCUUUACUAUUUUAGAAAAAUCUUUAAUAAAACGUCUAUAAAAGCCAGCAUGUCCUAAAAAACUCCUUAUCCCCUUGACAUUGCUUGGGGGUGGCAAUUUUUCGAUGACUUCUAUUUUGGCUUGAUCCACCUCAAUUCCCUUGGAGGAAAUCUUGUGUCCUAAGACAAUUCCUUCUUUUACCAUAAAAUGACAUUUCUCCCAAUUCAGUACAAGAUUUGUUUCCUCGCAUCUCUGCAAAAUUAAUUCCAAAUUAUGAAGACACUGAUCAAAAGAUGAACCAUACACAGAAAAAUCAUCCAUAAAUAUCUCCAUAAUUUUCUCAAUAUAAUCAGAAAAAAUAGCCAUCAUGCAUCGUUGAAAAGUUGCAGGAGCAUUGCAUAAACCAAAUGGCAUUCUUCUAAAGGCAAAAGUGCCAUAAGGACAUGUAAAUGUGGUCUUUUCUUGAUCCUCUGGAGCUAUAGCUAUUUGAUUAUAUCCUGAAAAACCAUCAAGAAAACAGUAAAAUUCAUAUCCAGCUAUUCGCUCCAAUAAUUGAUCAAGAAAUGGUAGGGGAAAAUGAUCUUUUCUUGUUACCGUAUUUAACUUACGAUAAUCAAUACACACUCUCCACCCUACCACAAGUCUAGAUAGAAUUAAUUCAUCAUUUUUACCCACGAUUGUAGUCAUUCCACCCUUCUUUGGUACCACAUGAAUUGGACUAAUCCAAACACUAUCGGAGAUAGGAAAAAUUAUACCUGCGUCAAGCCAUUUAAGAAUUUCAUUUCUUACCACCUCUUUCAUGUUUGGAUUGAGUCUUCUUUGUGUUUCCACCACUGGUUUGCAAUUGUCCUCCAAUAAAAUUCGAUGCAUGCAUAUAGAAGGACUUAUACCUUUAAUGUCUGAAAUUGUCCAUCCAAUUGCCUUCUUACACCUUCUUAGAACUCUUAGCAACUUUGCACACUGUUCAUCAUCAAGGUCAGCACUAACAAUUACAGGUAAAGUUUUAUUUUCUCCAAGAAAUUCAUACCUUAGAUGAGUCGGAAGUGGCUUGAGCUCUAACCUUGGAGGUUCAAUUUCUGAAGGUUGUGAAAACCCUUUUCCUUGGCCAAGACUUUCAUACAAAUUACCCCUUUUAUAAGGUGCUUGAAAAUCCAAGUACUUGGCCAAUUCUUCAAUUUCUUCACAAACAUCUUCUUGCUUACCUAAACUCAUUAAACAAUGCUCAAGAGGAUCUAAGUCAAGGUUGACUUGACUCAUCUCUUGGGUUAGUUUAUCAAUUGUGCCAAUAGAAUAAGCAUGAUCGGUAAAAGAAGGGUAUUUUUCCAUUUCAUUCAAAUUAAAUUCUACUUCUUCUUCACCUACUUGAAACUUAAGCUUGCCAUUUUUUACAUCAAUAAUAGUACCUGCAGUAGCUAGAAAUGGUCUACCUAGAAUAAUUGGCAUAGAUAUAUCUUCUUCCGUAUCUAAUACCACAAAAUCCACUGGAAUGAUAAAUUUUUGAACUUUUAUCAAUACAUUCUCCAACACUCCCACUGGAUAUCUAAUAGACCGAUCCGCUAGUUGCAAAGUAAUAUUUGUGCGUUUAAGCUCAUGCAAACCCAAUUGUCUAGCCACCGUUAAAGGUAUUAAUGAUACACUAGCACCAAGAUCACACAAUGCUUUAGAAAAAUCAACGUUACCUAUGGUGCAAGGUAUAGAAAAACUCCCUGGAUCCUUCAACUUCGGUGGUAGCUUAUUUUGAAUAAUUGCACUACAUUCCUCCGUUAAUGCUAUUGUUUCGCAGUCUUCCAACUUUCUUUUUCUAGUCAUGAUUUCCUUGAGAAAUUUCGCAUAAGACGGAAUCUGCAAAAUAGCAUCGGCAAAAGGAAUGUUAAUGUGCAAUUGUUUGAAAAGUUUAACAAAUUUUUCAAAAUCUUUAUCAAACUUAUUUUGCUUUAAUCUUUGUGGGAAUGGAACCGCAGGGGGUAUUGGAAUGGUAGUGGAAGAUGAUGGUUGCUUUUCUCUUGGAUUCUCCCGACUAUUUUCCUCCACAAUCGCCUCUUGGUUCCACUGCUUUUCUUCUUGUUUUUCAUUCUCAUCCUUCUCAACUUCCUUCACUGGAGGAUCUUCUAAUUGUCUACCACUACGAAGAGUAAUGGCUUUCACAUGCUCCUUAGGAUUGACCUCUGUUUUGCUAGGUAAUUCUCCUUGAUUUCGAUUAUUCAAAGAACUAGCAAUUUGACCAAUUUGGACCUCUACAUUCCUGUACAUUGUAGUGAGUUGGUCCAUCCUUCCUUCUACUCGCUCAAAUCUGUCCGAGGUAACUUUUGCAAGCUUUUCCACUGCCAUCUCCCAACCAGAUUUAGUUUCAGCUUGUUGUUGCCUUGAUUGAAAUCCCGGUGGAUUGGUUGGCCUUGGUUGAUUUCCUUGAUCCUUCCAUCCAAAGUUUGGAUGAUUUCUCCACCCCGGAUUGUAAGUAUUCGAGUAGGGGUUAUUUUGAGCAUUACGAUUGUAAUUAUUGACGAAUUGUACCUGUUCAGAAUCAACACACUCAUUAGUAUCAUGUUCACCUCCACAUACAGAACAGCAUGCUACAUGUGCAUUAGAUGAGCUUGGACCUUGUCUACUUAGCAAUUUCAUCACAUUAUUCAUUUGAGCACUCAGCAUAUUAAGAGUGUCCAUUUCUAUCAUACCUGCGUGACGUCUUGCAUUACCUCUCUCAUUGGCCCAUUGGUAGUUAUUUGCUGCCAUUUCUUCUAUCAAAUUAUGAGCUUCUUGGGGUGUUUUACCCAUUAAAGCUCCACCUGCAGCUGCAUCGAUCAUAGUUUUAGUAGAAAAAAUUAAACCAUUAUAGAAGGUUUGUAUGAUUAACCACUCCGGCAGUCCAUGAUGUGGACAUUUCCGAAGCAGAUCUCUAAACCUUUCCCAUGCCUCAUAUAAUGAUUCACCUUCUAAUUGGCUAAAACUAGUGAUAUCCAUUCUAAGCUUAGCAGUCUUACCUGGUGGAAAGUACUUAUUUAAGAAUGUUCUUGAUAAUUCAUCCCAUCCAGUGAAAGUAUUGGGAGCAUGAGAGUGUAGCCAAAGUUUGGCCUUAUCUCUCAAUGAAAAUGGGAACAAUCUUAGCCUUAUAGCAUCAUCACUAACUCCAUUCAUUUUAAUUGUAUCACAAAUUUCCAAGAAUGUAGCUAAGUGUGUAUUAGGAUCUUCUACUGCAUUACCUCCAAAUUGAGAUUGUUGAACCAUUUGGAUAAGUGAAGGUUUAAUCUCAAAGUUGUUAGCAUUUACCGCAGGCCUUGCUAUGCUCGUUUGUGAACCUUGUGUUCCCGGUAUAGUAAAAUCUCGCAGAACUCGCCUAUUUAGGUCAUUUUCCGCCAUUUCUUCUUCAAAUGGUAAUUCUAUCAAGAUAUCUUCUAUUGGCUGCCAAACCUCUUGUUCCUCUUGAUGCAGUGUAUUCCUCCUUUGUCUCCGCAAUGUUCUUUCAAUUUCAGGAUCAAAAUGUGCAACUUCUCUAUUUGAUCGGUGCAUGCACUACAAAUAAAAAUAAGAGAAAUUUUUGUAGUUUUAAUUCAACAACUUGGAUAAAAACAAAUGAAAAUGUCUAAAUUAAUAGAGAUGACUAGGCCCUAAUAUUGCCGCUCCCCGGCAACGGCGCCAAAAACUUGACGGGUUCUUAUUGUAUCAAUGCAAGUUUAAUUCCGAUUUUACACCCGUUGGACUGCAAGUAUACAGGUCGAAAUUUUAGUACAAGAUGUGUAUCGGGUCGAUCCCACGAGGAGCAAUUUAAACAAUUACUAAGCCCCUGUUCUCUCUAUUAUUUAGACUUACCAUUAAUUUUGAGCAGAGAAAAUCUAAUGCUGUAAUCUACAAAUCUGAUGUACAAAUCUAGUUUAACAAAUGCUGAAUGCAAAUAGAGAAAUUUCACUUAAUGAAGAUUCUAGGGAUGUAGAUUCCACUUAUGGCAUAAACUACACAAAUAAAUGGAUUUACUUAUUGCUAUUAUUCUUGCUUAACCAGAGAUUUAUUUCCAAGAUUACCAAGUCUCAUUUCCAUGAUGAAAUGGCUUAGAGCAACAUAGAUUUCCCUAUUUCCAUGGUGAAAUACUACUACAACUCUGUUUUAGUUCAUGAAAUACUAAGUAAUCCACUUAAGUGUAUUUCUAUUUUCAUGAACAUACAACUCAAGCUCUACUCAUGUGUUUCCAUUGUUAUUACCAAUUCUCAUUGAACAAUAACAACUGUAAACAAGUUAUUGGUGAUCAAACAAUAACAAGAAAUCACAGCUACACAAGUAGACAAGUUAACUCAAGAUAUAACAAGUGUAAAUCACAUUCAAUUAGUAUUAUUUAGCCAUAAGUUUCAUCUACUCCCUAGAUGAAGGAGUUUAGCUACUCAUGAAUGAUUUAACAAUCAAAUUCACAAGUUUAUUAAUACAAAACAUCAUAAAGUACAAGUAUAAGAAAGAUAAAAGAAAGCUUAGCCAAUUGAAGGUGAAGCUCUCCAAUUCCUGCUAUGUUCUUGCACAAUAUGAUUACAAGUGAAAACUCUCCAAAAAAUGCUUCUCCAAGUACUCCUAACUAGAGAGAAAACUUGUUGCAAGAAGGAAAACUAGCUACGUAUGGUUAUCCUUGCUUCUCCCUUGUGUUUCUGCAUAAAAGGUGGUAGAAAUUCCAUUCCUCUCACUUCAUAAUUUCCUCCACUUAGAUUUUGUAAAAAGAAGUCAAAGAUAUGAUGUUCCUUUUGUCCACACUCAUUUGGUCUUCUCUUUAUUGCAGAAGCAUGUGCCACCGAUUUCUGUCCCUCAAAAUAGCUGUAAAAGUUGUGAGAAAGGUAAAGAAAAACGGCUGUGCCACUUGCUGAGGAGAGAGACAGAUCCGAGCCUCGGAUCCGAGGAGUGAUAAUGGAUCCGAGCUCGGAUUACAGGAUCCGAGGCCUUCCCAUGAUGGAUCCGAGGUCGGAUCGUCCUGACCUCGGAUAUACUCCGCCAGAAGUACAGACGAGGGGUCGGAUCCCUCUUGUACACACGGAUCCGAGCUCGGAUCCGUGUUGAACAUUUUUCCAGUUUUUCACUUCUUCCCUUUUUCUACAUUUUUGCUCCCACUUUCUUGUGUACUUUGUCCUCUGGAUGACCCUGACAUUUCUUUCAACUUGUGCAUGAAUUUCAUACAUCAAUUACCUUCACAAUUUCACAAAAUUACGCAUUAAUCACUCAUUUAUCAAUUUCUUAACUCUUAAACAAUAUUUAAGCAAUUAUCACCAAAAGAAUUUAAAUAUGGCUUUAAUCUUCUCAAAACAUACCAAAAAUUCAUGCCAAAUUCAUACAAAAUGUACGUUAAAUAUUCACUUAUCAACAACCCUACUUCUAACUGGAGAAAUCGAGUACAGGUCCGAAAAUGAUUUUAGUCCAAUCUAUAUAUAGCUUGUUGAGGCUUUACAUUGUUAUCCAAUAUGAUUUUAGUCCUUGUGGGUUAGAGGUGGCAAUAUAGAUAAAUGGUUUAUAAUUGGUUUUGACUUAAUGGAUUAAAUAAAAACCAAUUAUCCAUUUAUAAUCCAUUUAAAUAUUUUGAUUACUUUUUUUUUUUUGUAUUACCAUUUCUUGUAAUAUGAAGAUACUUUUUUAUGUACUUGUAAAUUUUAGUUGUUGAAAAUGACAAAAAUCAAUAAAUGACAAAAAUAAUUGGAACUAACCAUGAAGAUUGUUGUACAAAUAGCCAUAUGGUAAUUAAUGGGGGAUUAAUGGGGAUUGAAUCAUAUCAUAAUCUAAGGAGGGAGGUCAACCCGACACAGUUUGUUACUUUUUUGCGCACUUAUCAAGCCUAAAUCCUUAAGUUGGGUUAAAACCAGAAUGGAACACAAGCAUUUAGUCAUACUGGAAAGGUAAAGGCUGCCUUUCUUUAUUUGUCACUUCUGAGCAAGACUUAAGCAGGCUGUCUUUUUUGUACACAUAUGGUGGCGAUGUGUGUUGCUAGUUGCCAUCAUCAUCAGCAUGUUCAUAAGGCCGGUGGAAUAAAUGCGGAGGAGGCCAACACUAAGGAACAGAGGAAUGAGAUAGAGUUGAAAAACAUGUAACAAGAAAUCCUUUCCUUUUCUUUUAUUUGGUUUUUAAGUAAAUGGAUAUAUAUGGCUUUUGUGGAUAAUCCAUAUAAAUCCAUUUAAUUUAAUGAUUUUAUUUUGGUCAACCAUUUAAAACCAACACUAUAAAUGGAUAAUCCAAAUCCAUUUAAUUAUGGAUUAUAUGGAUGGAUAAAUGGAUCUCAAUCCAAAUUGUCGUCUCUAUUGUGGGUUUGAGUUAAGGCGUGGUUUAUGUAUACACAUUCAAAAAUAACAAAACAGGAUGGUAAGAUUAUGUCCAAGGUUAGUCAUCAAGUCAGCAAUCGUUGAAAACAAUUUGUAGACGCAAUAUAUGUACUAACACAAUAGAUAUAGAUAUUUAAAUAUCAAUUAUGGACACUAAAAAAAAUAAAAACACAGUUUCUAAUGCAAACACUAUAUUAAUAUUUGCACGUCGUUGUCUAAGUGUCUACAUUUGAUAAUUUGAUAUGUACAUUACGAUCGUUCUUGUAAUUUUUUUUUCUUGUAGUCGAGAACAGAACUGAAAGCUAUAUUACGUUGUAGACAAAUAAAAUUUAUUUAGUCAAGAUUAAAUGAAUUGAAUUGAUCUUGAUUAAAUUAAAUUAAAUUGUAUAAGUCCAUUAUGUUUUGGACUGUCAAAUUGGGCCAAUAUUAUAUGGGCUAUUAAGUCAAAUUAAAUUUGUAAUGUCCAUUUAAAUUGAGUGAAUUAAUUGAUUUAUUCACAAUUGACUAUUUAGAUUGGCCCAUUAUUUAAGCCCAAGUUCAAUGGAUUUCUUGAGGAACAAGUGAUCCAAAAAUGCAGGGGAUUCUGGGGGUUUUCUUGAAGACCUAGCCUACAUAUUUUGGCUAUAAAUAAAGGUCUUGCCUCAAGGCAAAGAUAUAGAAAAAUCCCUAACGUUUGGAGAAACUCUGUCAAAUUCUCUCAAGAGCUUUUCCUUCUAUCCAAGUCCAAAUCAAGUCAAACAAAUCCUCUUGCCAUUGGUGCUGAAGACUUAAGAGUUCCAAGUGUUCAACGUCAUCAUCAAGUCAAUCGUUUUCUACGCCGAAAUUGUAGGAAACACCCUUUCGAUUGGAGAACAAGCCUUUCGGCCCUUCAAUUGAAGCUAUUCGAAGAGAAGAAUCAGGGGAUUAAUUUCUUUGAUUCAAGAAUUUUCAGAGAUUGUAACCCGCUCAUUAUUUGAUUCAAUCAAUUUGAUAUUUGUGCAAGUUUUCUUGUCUUUUAUUUUAGGCAAUAAAAUUUGUGUUUGUAAAGCAAAUGGAUUAACUGCUCUCAAGGGCUUCAAAGUUUCUUUAACCUUAAAAGAACCUGAACAACAAGCAGUCCAGAUGGUUUGGUCUCCAUUUUCAGGAUAUAUAAGGUACAAAUUAAGAGGUUAGCAGUAGCAAGCUGCUGCUUGAGCAUUCUGACCUGAUCAGCUAACAAUUCACAAGCCUCGAGAAGUCAUGGGUUAAAGUUCUUGCAAGAUUUUGUCGUUGAUCAGUUUAGUGAGGUUUGUCUGCCUGAUGUGGAAAACGGAAUCUUGGGUUUGAGACCUAAUUCCAUACCAUCAAUAAAUCUGCCAAGAAACCAUUUAGAAUUCUUAUGUGUUGUUCGUGUAGUUAUGAUUUUAGUAUUUAUAUUCAUUCUUUUAUUUCUUAGUAUCCUUUUGAACAAGGGCUUGGAGCCGCUAGUAGCAAGAUUUUGUUUUUUUUUUCUUUCUGACAUUUUCUUACGAAAGUAAGAAUUUUUGGCAAAUAAACCUAACAAGAUUUUGUUGAAAUCGUGCUUCUUGCAAGUGUAGAGGAAGCUCAACAGGUGCUGGCUACAGAAGGAUGCCAUGCUGGUCAAUAGUACUGGUUGCCUUUCGCUAGGCUGAAUCCUAAGGGGUCUCAAACCACAUCCCUAUCCUGAUUCACUUUGGACAGCUGCGUGAAAUUUUUAGUAGUUUUGUGUUCUAUUUGUUUGCCUUUUCCUUGCAUAUUUCAACUGGCUUAAAUAGGCCUAAUUAAAGGUUAUUGUAAUUAAUACAUCGUUAUCAAGACUAAUUACCAAUUAUUCUAUUGGUUAAUUAAGCCCUGUUCUCAUGAAUUAAUGCACUCAAAGGUUUUCUUGAACCCUUUUGAAACAUUCUUGAAAGUCAUGAAUCGUGCAUCACUUUGUUUAGGAUUCGAUUCCCUAUCGCUAAUUAUUUAAGUUGAGUUGGUAAUUAGGACAUCUAGUGGUCAAGUUUAAAUACCACAAUCGCCAUUUGUAUUACUAUAUAUUAAGUAAAAUUUAUUAAAUUAUUUAUCAAACUAAAUAUAUAAAAGAAGAAUAUUCACUGAAGUUAUUUAUUCUUCUUGGAUUAAUUAGAAGAGGACUUUAAAAAGUGACCACACGGACAUACCUGACUUUAUAUGCUAAUAAAACUAAAAAAGGCUCCAAAACCCGGUCUUAGUACAACUAGUACAGCUUCAUGCCAGAAUCCUUGACACCCCCAAGGUGGCUUUUAUGCAAGAAAGGGAGAAAAAAACUAAACAAAACCAAAAAAGACAGAGGAAAAGAAAUCUAUAGAUGGUGCCUGAAAUGUAAUCACAUCCAUAUAGCGUUGGCUUCGAUAAGCAGUGGCUUCAACUUGCCCUUAACAUUGAGGCUCAUAACCUCAUUGGAACCACCAACAAAAAUCUUACCUAUGAAAACAGCAGGAACACUAGGAUUACAUCCUAAUGUUAGCAAUGCAUUCUCAACUUCUCUUCCUUUUGGAAGUUGAUCAAGCUCAUAAACCGUAGGGUUCGCGCCAAAGCUGCUUAUCAGAAUCUUGAUAGCAUGGGAAAUGCAGCAGUUGCUCUUGCUGAAGAUCACCACUGGCUUUUCUGACCCCAAUUUCCUCACUGUUUCCAUUCUACUUUCUAUAAAACUUGCUAGUCAAGAAGUUAAAAAGUUCGAACUACUACUUGAGUUGAUAGGAAGUUUAUGACUUGGUUUGAGAAAAAUCCUGAAUUGUACAAAGGUAUAUAUAGAGGGCUAAGGAUGAUGGAUUGUAAUACUUCUGUUCAGAUAGGAAAAGUGGGAAAUGUGUCAGAUUUUGCUUCUAAAGUUGAUGCUUCAGAAAUAUCAGCAGCUAUUCGAAUAGGGUAAAGGUUCAAUCUGUCUUAUGUAACACAUAGAAUCUUAAGUUGCGUUAGCAUGCUGACAACAUAAAAAUUAGAAAAGUAGUAGUGGAUGAUUUCUUCUUUUACUAGAAAGAUUCUAAGGCCUGGAAGGUUUACUAUGGAUCACGAAUUCAGUUAGAUUUGUCAAUAUCAAAGAAAUUCUUACAGCACGUACGAUCCCUUGAAGUUUCCAAAGAAUUUCUUACAUCGCAUCAAUUGACGAUGGAAUGAAUAAUAAGACAGCUUUCUUUUUUUUUUCUUUUUUUCUUUAAAAAGUUAGUGAUUAAUAGUAACUUAUAGUUCAAAAUUAGUAGGUAAAUGCACCCCUUGAUAUGCGCAGCUGUCUAUGGUUUCAGCAAGUUGAAACAGAAAUAUAUAGACUAUUAUACUUGCAUUGUGAGAAUAUUAAUUGCAAAAAGAAAUUUUAUGACAACCCUUGCAUCAUUUUAUGAGACAUUUAUAAGAUAUUGUUAUUUUAUCUUUUGUACUUGUGAGAGUGUGAACAAAGCAAGUUAAUCAAAAUUGGGGAGUUGUUAUAAAUUCCUCUCUCUGCUUUGGUUUGGGAUAAGUUUGUACAGAUGGUAAUUAUAAUUUCAAGUGGAUUAAGCCAUGGAGGUGUUUGAUUGUAUUUUUGAAUCGGAUUCAAAAUUGCAAUAGGAAUCACAAUCAUAAACCCCACUAUUGGUACAGGUUUUCAUCACUUUCUCUUAUAUAUAUAUAAACAAAACCAGACAAAAAAUAAAUUUGCUAUAAAUACCCCUCAAUCCCAACACAAACACACACAAUUUCUUCAAGACUACUUCUCUCUCUAGUUUGAAGAAUUUAUAUAUAUAUAUAUAUAUAUAUAUAUAUAUAUAUAUAUAUAUAUAUAUAUAUAUAUAUGAACCGAAAUGGGGUUCAUUCUAUUAAUGAGUUGAUUACUUUGAAAUCUAAUUGGUAAUCAGUGAGGAAUGAUUGGGGCCAAUAUAUAACAUUCGUAUUUUCAAUGAAUGAUUUUUAUUGUGGUCUAUCAAACAAUAGAUAUAAUUGAACAAAACAAAACGUUGGACUUCCCCAAGUGAACAGAAUAUAAUUCCUUAGACUCAGUGCACAUGUUGAAAGAAAGGAUAUUUCUCAUGACCGACCCCGACUCAGGGUCGAUGUCAGAUGCAUCCCAGUGAAAGCAUCCAUUGACUGUGGCAGGGAAACAUGGGGGAUAAAUGUUCACUACUUGUGGAAGGAUAAGAUCAACCUUUCUCCAAGAAUUUGUACAGAGCUUGUAUAUUUGAACUCCCAUCACCAUCCCCAAAUAAGAAUAAUUACUUCUUGAUUUUGGAUAAAGUUUAUAUAGCUUGACUACCUUGUAAUCUUGGGUGGAUGGAUCAAAGCCAAACCCUAAAGCAUGUGGACUGACCGAUUUGAACCCUUUUGGUGGAUCAAAGCGGAGGCUUGGAGGAAGUGUCAGGAAUUGGCGUGUUGCAGGAUUACACAGAUGAAUUUCGGAGAGAUCCGAGAAGCAAACGAUGCCAUUGCACGCUCCAUAUAUGUCGAAUGAGUAACGAUUCCACGAAGGUAGCUCUAUAUUAGGGGCAACACUGGGGAGAGAUUCAUCUUCAUCGUGAGAAUGGAAUGAUAACAGGGUUUUGAAUUCGUUCUUGAUGAACCGCUUGACGAGGACGACUUUGCGAUUCUUGCUGUGUAAGUAUUUCAGAUGCUUGUCUUCAAAAUAAGGGCUGUUGAUCAAAGCGAACCAUGUUUUAGAGACGCAGCAGAAUCUCAACAAUGUCUUGACGGGCAGUUUCACGAGGAUUUCUGCCAGGGCAUCCUCCGGCAACGAAUUCACCAUAGUAGAAUAAAAUUCAGGAGUGGAAUCGAUGAAUGGAUUUUGGGAUUUUGUAGAGAAUCCACUAAUUAAUAUGAUGGUCCUUGUCCAAGUUCAUGGGCGAUUUCAAGCGUCCAAAACAGAGAGAGAGAGAGAGAGAGAAGGGUUUCAAAGCCGAUGAGUUGGGCUUUAGGGUUUAGCUCCGAUUAUUGCUUAAGAGGGAAAAAAUUUUUGGGUUCUCAGAUGAAAUAUGACACGUACGACGACGUUUCUAGCUCCAAAUCCAUGUUGAUGAGGAUUAAACGGAAAUUGAUGAGAAGAGAAUGAUUCAACUCCGCAAUUAAACCUAAUUUUCUCAAGUAUGAGUUGUCAACUCAUUACUUCGCCAGCAGAUAUCAUACGGAACAUUACACGUAAUUUUUUCUUUUAAAGAUGGUACAAGUUCAUCAUAUAAAUACUAGUCAGUCAAAAUUACGCAUAAGAAUUUAGUGAAAUUAAUCAUAUAAAUUUAUGCGUAAAUGAUACAAUUAUAUAUAUAUAGUAAAUCUUUCCUACAUUGACGGUGGAUACACUAUCAUCGUUGAAUUCAUGACAUUUAUGCAAAAGUUAAAUUUCAACUUUAAAUUUUACAUAGUUGUCAUUCAUCCAACGCUGAUAAUGUAUACACUGUCACUAUAGAAAAGAUUAAUCCAUAUAUAUAUAUAUAUAUGAUGAAACUAAAAGUAUGGAAAAGAUUAUUACAAUUCUCGGAGACUAUGCUGUAUUAGUACCAAUACGAGCUCGUAUCCUUCAUUAUGAGAUAUUAAAAUUAUUAUUAUUUCAUCACCUUAUUAUUUUUAUACCUAUAAAAUUUAUGAUUUAAGAAGUUGCUAGAUUGUAUAUAACUCGGAAGGUAUGCUAUUAUCUUUGUACAAAUUUUAAAACUUUUUAAAAAUUGAAGUAUAAUUUGUGAAAUAUAAUAUACCAAAAGUUUAUUACAUGUUUUAUAUAGAUUAGUUGAAAAGUAUGAGUAUUAUUCAGAAUAACUUUUAAAUGAAAUUUUUUUUUUUAUUAUACAGAUUAACAGGUAUAAUACGAGUUCUUAAUAACUAGGUUUUCAAAUUACUACAACCAAUCUAGCCAGACUAUUCACAGCUAUCCAGCAAAUCAAAAGUCCUGAGAGAACAAAAUUAACUAUUAACUCAUUUCAUUUCCAAUUGAUCAGUUAAAAUUAAAAAGCUUAAAUCACAUCCUUCAAAGCAAAACUACCAGGGAAGAUAAUUAAUUAAGUAAGCUUAUCUCUUAUCCCUUCCCACUUAAAAUAAAAACCUCAAACAAACAAGAUGUUAAUAGGACAAUUGGGCAUUAAAUACCAUCAUUGACUAUAACCUUAUUAGUGCAUCAAAAUCAGAACGGUACAUGGAAUAUCUGACUUGCAUUUCAUAUUACAAUGACUAAAAGUCACUCAAAACUCAAUAAAACUUAGACUUAAUAAAAAUGGUAGGAGUCCAUGCUCAAGCCCUACCUGAAUUUGGGUUGCUUUGCUCAAAAGGAAAAGACAACAAUUUAAAUAGCAAAACCAAAUCCUUUGGGCGCUUAACUAUAUUCUGGUUAUUACAUCCAUAUAGCCUUUGCCUCGAUAAGCAAUGGCUUCAGCUUGCCUUGAAUAUUGAGGCUCAUAACCUCAUUGGAACCACCAACAAAUAGUUUCCCUAUGAAAACAGCAGGAACACUUGGAUGGCAUCCUAAUGCUAGCAAUGCAUUCUCAAUUUCCCUUCCUUUAGGAUGUUGAUCAAGCUCAUAAACAGUAGGGUUCGCGCCAAAGCUGCAUAACAACAUCCUAAUAGCAUGUGAAAUGCAGCAAUUGCUCUUGCUGAAGAUCACCACUGGCUUUUCUGACCCCAAUCUCCUCACUGCUUCCAUCCUACCUUUGACAAAAAAAAAGUCUAGUCAAGAACUUCAGAAUAUGCACUAUUAUUGAGUUGAGAAUUGAGAGGAAGUUUGAGGCUUGGUUUGAACAAAACCUGAAUUGCAUGAGGUAUAUAUAGAGGCCUAGAGCCAUGGAAUUGUACAUAGUUUUAUUCAAGCAGGAAUUCUUAUGAAAGCUGUAAAAAUUUGCUUCCAGAGUUGGUGUUUGGAUUGGAAUCUAUAGUAUAGUACCUUAAUGUGUCUCACACAGAAUAGAAUCUCAAUUAGUUGCAUAAACAUUUUGAGGUUUGCUUCUUAUGACGGAAAGUGAAAGAAUUAAUAGAUGAUAACAGUCUCCUUCCUUUACUAGAAGAUUAUGAUGGCAAAAGGAUACAUGGCUCGUGGAUUCCCUUAGAUUGUCAAAAUCAAAGAAAUUCUUGCUUUGCUGUUAUUUUGUAUAGCGCCACCAAAUUUAGGGCUUCUUUAUUGCAAAAAUUGACUAUGACAAGUGAUCAUAAAGAAAAAUCAAAAUCAGUCAAAACCACUUUCAGGGAGAUUCUAAAUUUCAAUCCUUUUGGUUAUUAAAAAUGUUAAAUUAUGAAUACAAAAGCAAAUGAGAAAAUCAACCAAACAGACUGUCUAAAAUAUCAGAACCUAAAAUCAGUGGAUGAAAUAAUCAAAUGACAACAAAUAUUAGCUUUUUGCACUAAAGGCCUCAGAUCAGCAGGUACAGUCAAAAUAUGGACAAUUAUGCUAUGACUUUGCACGUGUAAUUUGUACAGCAUAGGCAUGCCCUAAAAUGACUUUAAUUCUGAAAUCAAAUUAAUAAGAAACAGCAAAAUAUUACAAAAAUUUGAGUCAUGAAUUCCAAAUAACUGAAAAAGAAGAAUGAACAGAAUCUUCAAGCAAGUGAAGAUAAAUGCACCCAUUUUAAUAAAAAGACAUUGCCUUCUUCUUGACCGCUGGUCAUGAUAUGUACCAAAACUUGCUUCAACUUAGCAUUAAUUAGACUUCUCCAGAUGAACGGAACCAAAUCCUUAGAUUGUGUAGAGAGAAUCCAUGUAAAUCACAUCCUUUUGGGCUUGCUAAGUAUGACUACUUUGCCUUUUAUUUCUUUUAAGCAGAUGAAGUAUACAUUGUAUUGCAUCUAAGACCACUGAUAAAAAUGGGAGAAAUAAAUUGUUCAGCAAAAGUUGAUUCCCUUUGGUUUUUUCUUUUGGAAGAAAGGGAUUCUUGGCCACCCACCCAAUUGACGGUACAGCAUAGCAUCAUAACAUGGACUAAAGCACAAUGGUAUGGUUCAGAAAUCCGUACAAAAGGCAGAAAAAAGUGCCAAGAAGGGGUAGUAAUAGCAGAUUCCCCCCUUGUGAGAGAUAUAUUUCGACUCUAAGCCAAAAGAGAUGCCUUUCUUGAUUUCCUCCCCAUGAUAAAUACAUCAAAUAAUGUGAAUGAUCAAAUCACAUAAACUUGUUCUGUUCUACACCCUUUACGUUUUCAUCCUCGGAACUAUUUUAUUUUAAACACUUCAUACUGAAAAGUUAUCAAAAUGUUCAAAAUUAUCCAAAAUGGUUGUUAAUUUUAUCCAUAAAAGUGAGCAAGAACGUAUAUGCUUUCACUAAAUUUUGUGUGGGUUUCAUGGAUUUUGAUGUCAAAUUUCAGGAUACCGUUCAUAUAGUUUCAUUAUACAUAUUUUGAGAUAAAUAUGAAGCAUUCAAAGAUUGGAAGUGUAAAGUGACACUAAAUGGUUGUCAAAAAUACUGCCAAGAUGUCAGGAAUGAAAAAACGUUUAAGUGUAAAAUGUGCAAUCUUUUAAAACAUAAUAGAUUUAAAAGUGAAAUUCAUUAGUUUCUAUACUUCUAUAUUCACCAACAGGUUGUAGACUAGCCACCCAAGAGAAUAAAAGGUAGUUGCUUGCUCCUACGGGGUAGUCCAGUGGUAAGCGAACUCUUAAGAACUCCUUUGAUUCUAGGUUCGAAUCUUAUCCUGAACUUAAACUCCCGUGACUCGCCCGGGUGUGUUGCGUGAGGCCGUGGCGUACUCCUUCGGUUUGAUGUGUCGGUUCGAAUCCUACGUGGUUCAAGUCGAGGCAUGUUCCGGUUACCAAAAAAAAAAAAAUAGUUGCCUACCUCUUUCCAAACCAAAAAAAAAAAAAAGAAAAAUAUCCCGUUAAGAUAUGAGAGAGAAGUAUUGGGAGACAUAGGGAAUGAAGGCUAGAUACCGCUAUAUCCUCCAAGCUGCUUGUAAAGGUACUAAUUAAUUACUUCUUGAAGAUGAAAAAUCACGUCUUCAGUUAGUCUUUAUUCUUGUAAGCAGCCAUAAAAAUCAAAUCAAAGCCGACCAUAAUGCUAUAAACUUGACCAGUAUGAUGUAUAAUAUUUGCAUAUUAAGCAACUUGUAAAGGUGUUAAUUCAUUAGUUCUCAAAGAUGACAAAUCACGCCUUUAGUCUCUAUUCUUACUAAGCAGCUGUAAAGAUCAAAUUAAACCCGACACAUAAUGCUAUAAAAUUGAACGGUAUGAUGUAUAAUAUUUGCAUGUUUCUCAGUACUACUUAAUAUAUGAUAAAAAUAAAUAUGAAAAAGAAAGUUAUUUAUCUUGAAUAUAGAAUACAAAAAUUUUUGGGAGUCCGACUAACAAGCUUCUAGUAUAUAUCUAACAAUCGACAUUGGAAAAGUUAUUUGAUUUUCAAUUUUUCUUCAGAGUCAAUAUAAGCUCGUUAAUUCCGUGUUCUAAUCGUGCAAUUAACUAAUUACACUCUCUGGACAGGUUUUUAAGGUCUCGAUUUGUUAGUCGACCCAAUUUCCAUGUCGGAUGGAAUUAAGGUAGACAAGGUAUAUUUGUACGUUAAUACUUUAGCGUCCAUGUUAAUAUCUUAGUGUCCACAUUUAGUCUUUUGUGGGUGUAUUUAUUGCAUUACUUCUUAAAGCAUAUGGUCCAAUCUCCACCGGUAAUUUUUUUCCUUUUUUUUUUGGUUGACAAGAGAACCCGUAGCUGCUACUCGAAAGUGCGCACUGGAUAAACUCUUCCCCGUGCAAUAGCCCGCCAUGUGCAUGAGGCCAUAGGCAUUAUAUUUUCACUCAUUUUUCCAAGAGUAGAAUGAGACUGAAUAUUAGAAGAAACUCUACUAAAUUAUUGACUACUCCAUUCUCCAUUGGGGUGAUAGUUCAGUAGUUGAUUGAUGUCUGCUACCGUAGAAGAAGUCCAAAAUCUAACAUUGAAAUGAAAAAAAAUAACCAUCUCAAUCCGAGCUUAUGCCAACAUACUAACUGAGAUACUAAGUUGUAAACAUUAACAUACAGAAACACUUCUGCCUUUUUUUUUCCUGCCAAGUAUUGUCUCACUAUAUAUUGCUUAAAUUACCAAUUCGGUGUAGUUGCCUUCAAUGUACUAAGUCAACAAUAAGUCAAACUAAUCUUGCAACACAAAAAAAUAAAAAAUAAAAAAUAAAAUACAAGCAGAUUAAUUUAGUUUAAUAUCCAAUAUCACUACUUUGCCAUUCCACUUGAAACUAAAGAACCUCGUUGAGUUUACUUUUCUAAUAAAGCAAAAAGUAUGAGAGAAAUAAAGUGCCACCUAUAUAUAGCCCCCCCCCCCCCCCCCCAAAAAAAAAAAAAAGAAAACCCCACAAACAAAAAUUUUGGUUAGAUCACCUUUAGUCACUAAAUUAUUUAAGGAUCUAAUUUUGUGUACUGAAUUUCUUUUCUUCUUCGUUGUCUCAGUUGGAUCUUACAAUAGUCAUUGCACGUAAUUGUUGCCAUUUUUUUGAGAAAAUGCAAUUACGAAACUAUUUCAGAGUUUGAUUUCACCUAUUAAUUAAAUUUGUCUUCUUUUUCUCUCUUAAUUUUUUUUUUUUUGGUGUCCUUAUACACAUAGAAUUCUUAAUAUGUAUUAGGGAUUUCUUGAAAACUGAAGGACAUGCAUGCCCAUGAUAUGAUAGUAUGCAAGGGACAUCAACUCAGUUAACUUAAGAAAUGACCAAGAAAGCAUGUUUAAGAGUUCAAUGAGUAAACUGACCCAAAAAAUAAGUAAAUAAAUAAGAAGGUCUGGAGGAAAAAGCAAACUUUUGACAUUGUUUGGUGACAUAUUUUGACUUCCACUUGAUAAACCAUACAAAAACAAAGAUACUGCAAUACAAAAGUAUCUGGCACCCUUAGUACAUCAAAAUCAAAAGGUAGAGACAUAGAAUAUCUAACUCACAUAUUAUAAUACAAAAAAACACCUGUAGGAGUUUAUACUAUCCAAGAUUCUUAGUGGCUUUCUUUAGAAGGAAAAAAAAAAAAAAAAGAACCGAGGCUAAUUCAUUAGAUGUUUCAGAACAUCUGAUUAAUCUCACAUCCAUAUAGCGUUGGCCUUGAUAAGCAGUGGCUUCAACUUGCCCUGAACAUUGAGGCUCAUAACCUCAUCAGAACCACCAACAAAAAGCUUCCCUAUGAAAACAGCAGGAACACUUGGAUGGCAUCCUAAUGCUAGCAACGCAUUCUCGAUUUCCUUUCCUUUUGGAUGUUGAUCAAGCUCAUAAACCGUAGGAUUCGCCCCGAAGCUGCUUAACAACAUCUUUAUAGCAUGGGAAAUGCAGCAGUUGCUCUUGCUGAAGAUCACCACUGGCUUUUCUGACCCCAAUCUCCUCACUGCUUCCAUCCUAAUAUUGGGAUUGAAAAUUUGCACUAGUAGUAUUUGAUUUGAGGGGAAUUUUAAGGCUUGCUUUGAGGAAAAUAUUGAAGUGCAUGCAGGUAUAUAUAGAAGGUUACCUGAGAAUGAUUGCAGUAAUUUUCUCAAGGAAACACUAAAAGGGUUCUAAGAUCUUGUUACAAAAAUUGAUGCCUGGAGCAUAUCAGCCACUAUACGGAAAAAAUUGACAGGUCCUGAGGCUAUGAAUCCUCUGUUACACACUAAUGUAUAAUACCUAUGUUACACCUAUAAAUCCUCUAUUAUACAUUAAAGUAUAACACCUAUGUUAUAUAUUUUGAAACAUUGAUACGUGUACUUUUCAAGAGUUCAACUUAGCUAGAAACAUAAUGAUAAUAAUUCAAAAGGAACAGACGUCAAUACAUCAAAGGGCAUAAAAUGAAUGUUGCAUACUAUGGUGCACCAGAAAACCCGUUGCCAUCUCACGACUACAUAGAAUCUCAACUUGCUUGAAGAUUCUGAAAUGGAAAGUUAUAGUGGAUGAUAACAGUCUUUUGCCUUUACUGAUUCUGAGUGCGGAAUGGUACACAGCCCAUGGUUUCGAUAGACAAGUCAAAAUCAGAAAAAUAUUGAUUAUUCUUUCUCUAAUCAUGUACUGAAUUUUCCACGAUUGACAGGUUUCAUAAUAUGCCCCCUAACUGUCCAAUUUAACAUGUUUUCACAAUUAUUGUACAAAAUUCUAUGAUCCAAAUUUACAAAAUUAAUCCAAAUCCUAGUUACUAUUUCUAUUCCUUUCAGUAUGAUCGGGCAGUGGCAUAUUUUGGCAAGUCAAUAACGAUUAAGAUUAAUCCAGAUCCUAUGUAGUUCAAAAAAAAAUGAAAUGGUAGUUUUUUUUUUUUUAUCUAAUUCAAUAACGAUGAUAAAAUUCAAUAACGAUCAUAUUGUUUGAUCUAAUUUGCAUACUGAUUGGACUUCUCCAAAUGAACAGAACAUGAUACCUUUUGCCUGUGGGCAUCCAAAUGAAUUUGUUAAUGUUGCUGACAAAUGAUAUAAUUAUUUUCUGUCUUUUAUUUAAAUAGGUUACUUUUACUGAUAUAUCUUGGACCAGUAAUUCCAAAUGAAAAUUGGAUUCAUGUAACAAGAGAAAGAUUUCUCAUUCCGUAGCCGGGAAGAUAUGUAGCUAUUCUACAUCUGAACCAAAUUCUUUAUGAGAAUAUCUUUCUAACUGCUCUAGAACAAUUAGAAGAUUCUGUAGAAGAAAUAUGAGGUUCUGUAAGGGAUACAAAUGGAAGUAAAUUUAUAAAACAUUCCUAGAAAAAAAUCUGCCAAUUAAACUUUACUUCAAACUUAUUAAGUUAUAGAAAUUUGUAAAGAAUAUCAAAACAGUUUUAAGAAAAAAAAAAAAGAGGUUCCGAGAAAGUAAAAAGAAGAUCUUAAUUUAUACAAGUUACUAAUUUUAAAAAAGAAUCAAUUUGAUUGAGCAAAAGAAGUUUCUCGGUUUGGAUUAGUUAUUUUUGGAGUGUUUUUGAAAUAUUUUAUUGUAGUAAUAUAGGUGAAAAACUUUUACUAUAACUAUUUUUGAAAGUAUUUUUGAAAUAUUUUGCUAUAGCAAUAAUUCGAUUUUAUUUGUGUAUUAUUGUAACACUGUAUAUGAAAAUUUUAUUUUUCAAAAAAUGACCAAUACAAACGCAGAGGUUACUUUUUUAUCCAGAUGACUGACCCCUCAAUAAAAAGAGGAGCCUCUCACCCAAAAGAAUUAUAUCAUAAUCUAAACGAGACUUUUGACUAAAUCAAAUAACGGGCAUGUUACAUGGAUCCGUACAAAAGGGAGAAGAAGGAACCAAGAAGUGCUCAAGCAGAUUCUCCAUUUCUGAGCAAAGGCCAAGAGAGAUGCCUUUCUUGAUUUUCUCCACAUGAUAAAUGGACUAAGUAAUGUGGAUGAUUCAAUCAUAUUUAUCCAUCAAAUCUCAUCAAAUAUUCCUUGGAAAAAAGAUGGCAGUUAAUGGCGCUGAGGGUCGGUUUGGUAUCCUCUUUUUGUAAUAAUUUAAUUAAUGGGCUAGUAAUUCUCUUUCUAUAUAGCUUGGAUCAACCUCAAAGAUCGAUAGCUAUAGAUAAAACCAAGUAUGCUUAGCAAAGCUAGUGCCCAUGUUAUGUAGGGAGAGUGUGAAUUGUAGAUCUUUUAUGUCGACUAUUUGGCACAAAAUCCUCAGUGUUCAGUUGCCGCAUCAAGGGCAUAUAUCCUAUGAAAAAAAUGGCAUUAGAAUUGCCAAAAAGCAACAAUUGCGUAGCUCAAUCUUAAACAGCUGUAAAAUGCGCAGACGAUGAAAGCUUUCCAACAUAAAAUUCUGACUACUAGAAGAGAAUCAUAUGUAGCUGCGUACUUCCUUCAUCAAAAAGCAAAGAACAUGAUUUAGGACACAGUUACAUCUUAAGUUAAUGUGUUUUUAUCUUAAAUUAAUGUUGUACACACUGAAAACGUAAUAAAUUGUUUAUACUCCCUCCGUCCCGUUUUGUUAGUCUUGGUUUUUUUUUCACACAGAUUAAGAAAGUGUAAUUAAUUUGGUUGGAAACAUAAAUUUAGAUUAAUAAUUUCCUAAAAUACCCUUAUGCUAAUCACGAAGAGUGCCAAUUAAUAUCAGUUACAGCUAAUGGUGCCAAUAAAUAUCAGUUACCGUCAAUAGUGCACCGCCAAUAGUUACCGCCAAUAGUGCACCAUGAUUGUUUCAAUUACCGCCAAUAGUGCCAAUAAAUAACAAAGAUAGACUUUUCAUUUAUCUAUGUAUUGGAAAAGCUCAAUGUAUUCAAUGUAGUGGGUUAGUAUUUAAUAACAAUGUAUUAAUAACAAGAUAUUUAAUAAGGUUAUUUUAGACAAUUUGAAAGAUUACUACAUUCCUUAAUGGGAAAGUGGACUACAAUUUGGAACAGACGAAAAAGGAAAACAAGACUAACAAAACGGGACGGAGGGAGUAUCAUGUAGGUGUAGUGAUACGAACCUGACUCUCCAAACUCCCGCUUUUCAAAGAGACAAUUUGACUAGACAGUGAAAAGACCUAUGUUGACCAAGUUAUGGAUAAUAUUGGGAUGGAAAAUAGGGUAGGCCGGUCACAAUUUAGGUGAAUACCAAACUGAUAUGACACUCAAUCCACUCAAAAAUCCUCACUUGAGAUGAACCAAAAUUUGAAAGACAAGAGUUUCCACUUAAACUUGAAGAAAGAACGAAAUUUCAAGUUUCAUUCAUUUGAAUCGACCGUCUAUUACAAUGAUGUUUAAAACCUUAUAUAGGCAAAACCCUAACCUAAACCGAAAUCCAAAUCGAACUUGGACUGAUUUCACUUAUUUAAUAACUAAUCUAUUGGAUUCAACUAAAUUAACGGCCCAUUAAGUUCAAAACUUAACACAAGAUUGGCCAUUUUAUUGACUAAAUACAUCUAACCAAAUUACUUAGUAAAAAGUCAAACAAUAAUUACUUAAAACAGACAAAAUAGGAAAAAUCCUAAAAGAAAUUAAUGACACAAAAACCGCAGAUGGAUUACACAUAAAUUCCACUGGUUAAAUGGACCGGUUUGUGAGCAAUAAUUUAAUCUUCCUUCUCGAGCUAAGUCAACAUCUUCCAAGUUUCUUGCUUGAACCUCCUUGCAUUCGAAUUAAAUUAAUGGAAAUUUGAAAAGGUUUCUUAAUCCGUCCUGCACAAGCUUUAAUGUCCAUAUCAUGUAGACUAUAUAUAUGUUUAUAUGAGUUUUUCUAACGAGUGUCUAUUAAACAUUUGUUAACAUAGCUAAAUGCCAACUAACCUACCAUGCAUGUAAACAAUAUAACAAUUAUCAUCACUUUUCUUUACCUUUAUAUACUUUCCCUAAUUAAUCAUACAUUUCCAAAGAUCUAACACCUAAAAUACGUCUUCACCAUUGUUCAUUGAACAUCCAUUAGACAAACCCUGUGUGUAUAUCACAAGACAGAAUACUGCAAUUCCAAUCCACUUUCAAAUUAAUUUGCAAUAAAUUUCUCCAAUCAUUUCAAUGUCUUGUAUAUCCUCCAAUUCUCGUGUUGCUUCUUGACCAUCGAACAUCUCAUGAUGCCCGUGCAGCUAUACCUUUUUAUUUUUAUUUUUAUUUUUUUUAUGAAUCCACACAAAUUGUGCGUACAAUAAACCAUAUAUGUGGGAUAAGUAAUACACAUAUCUUUAACAUCAGAAGCACCUUUAGAGUGACCUCUUAACCAGCUCGAGUAAGUAUGCUGGUUGACACAACAUUCUUACUUAGUUACUGAUUUUCAAGGUAUCCUAACAUAAAACUAAAAGGUCCCUCAAGUCAUGGAUCAAAUUUUCUUACUUUACAAUACACCUAAAUUUUCUUCAAUUGUUCUCGAUGCAUCAAUUUUUUCAAUGUGGUAAAUUAAUCGAUUAAGUUCGCCCAAAUUGAAUAUGAUUUUUAAUGGGGUAACAUGUUUCUGCGUCAAAAGAUAAUUUAACCGCCAAUAACCGAUGACUUGUGGAUUGAGGAGGGAAAAAAAUUCACUAGAGGAGAUAUCUGUCCAUAGAUCAUUAAUUUUAUAAGCCCAUAAUUGUCCCACUAUUUCUAUGUGUGAAAAUAUAUUUUUUUUUUCUUUUUUAAGCAAAUGAUGGAUUUUAAGGCUAUCUUUAUAAUUUCAGUGCAACAUGUAUACCUAAGUUGUCAAAAUUCGUUCAAUUUGAGGUUGAUUGGUCGAUUGUAUCAUGAAUUCGGAGUUUUGCACCCAGUUCUUACUCCUGGACCUCAACUGCUGUUUCCACAACUAGAGAAGCACUCAUUGGCAUUUCACACUAAUAUAAAUUAAGUUGAUUUUCUUCAUCACUAAAUUGGUUAAUUUUUUUUUAACAAAAAAAAUUGAAGCAAAUUAAUCAUUGUCAACAAAUUUGCUUUUUAGCAUUAUUGCAACACAUAUUUGCAUACACUUGAUUGCAAAACUUUGACUGCUGAGCGAUCCCGUGAAGAAUAAAGGCUAGCAAGAAUGGUUUUUGGUUGGAAAGAGAGAACAAGGGGAAAAAAAUGAAAAAUUAACAAAACCCAAAAUUGUAUUCAGCUGCCGGGAUUCGAACCCGAUGAGUUUCACUUGAGCCAAUUUGAUAAGUGCCACAGCGGAUUUACCAUGAGAUAUAUGAUAUAUGUUUUAUCCAACCGUGAUAGUAUAUACACUGGCAGUGUAUAUAAAAUUUACUUUAUUUUUAUUCCAUAAUAAUAUUCGUCUCUUCUUUAUAGGGGAAGGGAGUAUAAAAGAGAAUUCCAAGAUUUGAGAUUUCCCCACUCGCACUAUACAAAAAAAAAAAAAAAAAAAAAAAGAACCUCUUCUUUUUCUUUUAUGCAUUCUACAGAAAUUAAUAAUAUGUUCAUAAGUCACCUCCCAGACCAUGAAUUUUCUUGAAUGCCAAAUUUUAAAAAUCCUACUAAUAUCUAUUCGGAGUUUCUUUAAUUUUAAGUCCGUACACACCCAUACACACAAAACAAUAUGGAAUUGUAAACUCAACUCGGAAAAAAUCACAAAGCCCAGGUUUUUCAAGAACAUGUUGAAGUGUGAUCCAAUGAUAUGCUAAGGCCCAAACAAAAACUCAUAAAGUUAACGUAUUUUCAACUUUUUUUUUAAUCCACUUACUUCUCCCUACAUCCUUUCCACCCCUAUUCAGUAAAAUUUACAUGUAAAAUUAAAAUUUUCCUUUUUUGAUUCGUUAAACUUUGACUGCUGAGCGAUCAAGUGAAGAAUAAAGGUUGGCAAGAAUGGUUUUUGGUUGGGAAGGGAGAAAAGCGGGAAAGAGCGAUCAAGUGAAGAAUAAAGCAGAAAAAAAAGAAAAAUUAACAAAAAUCAAAAAAAUGUUUUCCGCUGCCGGGAUUCGAACCCGGAAGAACCCAGUUUGAUAAGUGCCACAGCGGAUUCACUGCCAGUUGUAUACGAGUCUCAGUUGAAUUUAUUUAAACUAUAAAGUUCUGAAACUCCUGAUAUCCAUCUAAUAUUUCCUUUUUCCAAAAGUGAUCCUUUGAACCCCAAUUUCUAUCACCAAGUUUUUUUUUUGGUUCCAUUCUACCUCUUCUUUAUCUUUUAUGCAUUCUACAGAAAUUAAUACUAUGUUCAGAAGUUACUUCCCAAACCAUGAAUUUUCUUGAAUGCCAAAAUUUAAAAAUCCUACUAAUAUCUCUUUGGAGUUUCCUAAUUUUAAUCCCAUUCACUAAAAUUUACAUGUAAAAUUAGAAUUUUCCGAAUAAAUAACUUGUACACAAUAAGAACUGUAACUCUACUACUAUGGGAACUCGAAUAUAUAUAUAUAUAUAUAUAGCCUUUUUCCUUUUGGGAUUUCAAUAUGUCGUCAACGACUGACAUUGUUAAUAGCUAAAUUCGGGGUUGGCUAAAUUAUUGGUUCAAUAUAAAUACUAAUAAGAUUCAAAUAAAAUUUUCCCUACCCUUUUCCGACUUCUUAAAUUUUGCUGAAAAUAUUUAAAGAUUCAAAUAAAAUUGUCAAUAAAUGUCACAUCAAUGCAGACUUGCUCAAUGAAUUAGUGAAUGCUGCAUGUUUUAAUACAUGGGAUGAUUAAAUAAACUUAACGGCCAUUCUCUAGACAAGUUAGACAAAGAAAUGUGUUAGAAAAAUGCCAGAGGACAAAAUGUAAACUGCAAAGCUAUAUUCAAAGACUCAAGAUUGAAGAGCCGAACCAAACAAUAACUGAACCAGUUCUUUCUCCAUUACACUUUAAAAUCUAAGGAAUUUGGAACAUUUUAAUAAAUUAGCAAAGCAAAAUAUAUAUAUUAGAGAAGAUAGAUUACCGAGGCUCAAUUCUUUAACCUCGCAGAAAACAAGAUCAAGUGGCUGUGGACUUCCAACCAUGUGUUACCAUGACCACUAUAACAUUGUUAAUUAACGUCCAAAUGAAAGUAACAUAACAUUAUCUAACUUUGAUGUGAAGUUACAAAACUGGACGAGACUCAAAACCGGUUCAAACUGAAAUUGAAUAAAACUGGCAGGAGUCCAUGCAAAAUCAAAAUCCACGUUUAGGUGGCUUUCUUCAAAAGAAAAAAAAAAAAACCGAAGCUGAAUUGUUUGGAUGGAAAAAGUUGUAGGUGAUUAUCACAUCCAUAUAGCCUUGGCCUUGAUAAGCAAUGGCUUUAACUUGCCCUGGACAUUGAGGCUCAUAACCUCAUUGGAACCACCAACAAAGAGCUUCCCUAUGAAAACAGCAGGAACACUUGUAUGGGAUCCUAAUGCUAGCAAUGCAUUCUCGAUCUCCCUUCCUUUGGGAUGAUAAUCAAGCUCAAAAAACAGUAGGAUUCGCCCCGAAACUGCAUAUCAACAUCUUAAUAGCAUGGGAUAUGCAGCAGUUGCUCUUGCUGAAUAUCACAACUGGCUUUUCUGACCCCAAUCUCCUCACUGCUUCCAUUCUGCUUUUGGGAAAAAUAAAAAUAAAAAGUCGAUCGAGAGAAGUGAUCAAAGGCUUGAAAAUGUGCACUAAUCUUACUUGAUUUGAUAGGAAUUGUAGGACUUGCUUUGAUAAAAAAAACUGGAGUGCAUGAAGGUAUAUAUGGAAUGCUGAAGAUGAAUGCAAUAAUUUUUUAACGAAAAGAUUAUAGGGAUGCAAAAUAUUGCUACAAAAUUUGAUGCCUGGAUCAAAUCAGCAGCUAUAUGAAAAACGGUUGAUAUGUCCCGACUAGACAGAAUCUCAACAUGCUUGAAGAUUCUGAAGUUGGUUUUUUCAUGCAAAAAACAGGAAAGUAAUAGAUGAUAACAGUAGUUUUUUGCCUUUUAUCACAUUGGUAUAUUUCCUUAUGCUGUAUAAGAAUCAGUUGUGAUCAAAGAGGGUUUGAAUUUCAACUGUAUGGAUAAAAGGGCUUUUUCGGAAUGUGAAAUGUUGUAUAGUUUUUUUUAAAGUUUUUGGUACAAUUGAGGGCAGCAUGUGUUUAGAUAUAUUUAUCAAAAUGCCCUCAUUUUAGUACAUUUAAAACUUUGAUUUAUGCGAUAAUUUCAGAAACCUCCCCUGAGCUUUGUCAUAAUAUCACUCAACUCCUCUCAAGUUUUUAAAAUCUCACUUACCUCCCCUCAAGUUUUAAUCCAGAAUUUGAGUCAAUCAUCUAGUUAAUUUCUUGCCAAGCGAUAAAUGCAUCACAAGACUAUAUUUUAGAUUAAAAGUGUGUUUAAUUAAAUCCUACGCCUCUCUCGAUGGUCAUAAGAGUUCAAGUAAAUCCAUUAAAAUUCUCAAUAAUAUAGGUGUAUUACACAUAAUUUAACAUAUUCUCGUGAUUAAUCUAUGUGUGUUUAUCUAUUUAUUGCACGGUUGUAUCUCAUUUCUCAAGAGAAAAAGAAGCUAUUGUUUAUCUAGUUGACUGACCCCUAGCCUCAAUAGCAAAAAGAAUCUCCCACCCAAAUCUAGAAACAGCGUAGAAUCCUUGACUAAACCAAACGAGGGGCAUGCCAUAAGGCUCAGUAUUUAGAAGGGAGAAGAAGGUACCAAGAAGGGCUCAAGCAGAUUCUCCACGAUCUUGAGACUCGCCCACCAUAGAUGCCUUUCAAGAUUUUCUCCACAUGAUAAGUGGACUAAGUAAUUAUAUGGAGGAUACAAUCAUAUUUAUCCUUCAUAUCUCAUCAUAUAUUCCUUGGGAAGAAAAAUGCUUAAUGACAACUAAGGGUCAGUUUGUAACUUUUUUUUGUUUUGUCGUUUUGCUGCGUUAAAGAAUCUAGGCUUCCAUUUCAAAAUCGAUUAGCACUAAGUGAAGGGAUUCAAGAUCUUCAUUAAUCAUUUUAUUGGUUAGUCUCCCAACCAAUAUGGAUUAUUUAAGCUUUAAUCAAACUGAAUUGCUCUUUUUGACGAACUCUUAAUAGCUUCCAACGCUAGUCCAUGUCAACUAUUAGCAAAAAUCUGCCAUGUCCAUUCGCCACAUCGAAGGCAUAUAUCCUGUGAAAAACGACAUCAGAAAUGCAACGACAGCUUGCAUAUCUCAUUUUUUUUUUUUUAUUGUUCUUGUAAGCGAAGAGUGGAAUUUAAAAAGUAGGAAGAGAAUAAGGGAAUUAAAAACCUAGCUAAUAUUGCUAAGGGCUUUUCUAAUGGAUGCUCUAAGGGCACCAUUAACACAUUCAAUAUUCACCUAACUUACUAUAUAUAUAUAUAUAUAUAUGCAUACUAACAAUUAUUAUCUUCUCCUGCAUUUAUAUACUUUUCUUAUUUAAUUUUGUCUACCCUCUCUUGUAUUUAUUUAAUUUUCCUAAUUAAUUUUGUAAUUCCAAAAAAUAUAACACCUGAAAUAUAUUUUAACAAGUGCCCAUAGAGCACCCGUUGGACAAAUCAUAUUUCUAAUUUCUGAAGUUACAACCUUAGCUAUGAGGCCAUUUGCAUCUCUCAUCUUAACUAUUCUAAAUGUGCAAAUGACCUCCAACAUUAAUUUGUGAACAUUACUAGAAAAGAAUCACAUGUAGCUGCAUAAAUCCUUCAUGAAAAAGGAAAAAAAUCUUAGGACACGAAGAUUAUCUUUAUCUGACAAGAUAGAGUACAAUAAAAAAAUUCUCCAUUCAAUUCAAAGUCUUGUAUAUUUUGGAAAUCAUGCGUUGUUUCUACAAUCAUCUAUAAGCAACCAUGAAUUAACGACUAUUGAAUGUCUCAUGAUGCUGAGUAGUCGCACUUUUAUAAGUAACCACACUCAUUGGAUCAAUGCGAAUGGACUUACCCCUAAGUAUUAUUUUCUUUCUUAUUAACUAGUAACCUACACUCUAAGACACUUCGUCUGUAACCGACAAAUUACAGAUUCGAAUCAUCAAGGGGUAAGUAGAGAAUUAUUCUUGAUCCUCUCAAAAAAAUUUUUAAAAAAAAAAAGUUACAAUACCCCUUAGGAGCUUCAAUUUUUUUGGGUAAUUAUGAAAUGUUCCUCAAAAAAUAGGUUGAGUUCUUUCGCUUUAAACCACCCGGGCUCAUUUCCAAAUCAACCUAUCUGGCCCCUGUUCUUUUUCAUCAAUUAUUCUCGUUGUAUAAAAUUUUGUUCAAUGCCAUACAAUGAAUUAAGUUUGUCCAAAUCGAAUAUAAUUUUUUCAUCAGAUGACAUGCACUUGUUGCAUCAAAAGAUAAAUAGACCACCAAGGAAACCAACGAAUUUGUGGAUUUAAGAAGAAAAAUAUGCAUCAGAGUUACAUAUUUGUCCGUAAAUCAUUGGUCGUAUAGAGCUCGUAUUUGUCCUUUUAUUUUUUCGUGUGUGUCAAUACAUGUUUUCACCCAAAUAUUUGAAUUUAUUCAUGCAAAUUUUUAUCGUAUAAUUGUUACUGUUUACCUGAGUUGUCAAAAUCCGGCUCAAUUAUUGAUGAAUUGAUGGAACUUUUGCUUUUUCUGUCUUUUUUUCGCCUUUUACUCUUUAAUUGGCUGCGCAGUAAAAAUCUUGUAACAUGGUUAAUAACUCAAGCAUCAUUGAAACUUGAAUUUUAUUACCAACAAAGAAAAAAUACUUGAAUAUACAACGUUUUCAUCUCAUGACUUCGAAUUGUCCUUUUUUAAAAAAAAAAAAAAUUAGAGAUUACAAGUGCAACAACUCAAAAAAAGUAGAACAACUUAUUCACAAAUACUAAUACUGGAACUAACAACAACUAAACAAUGUACUAAAACUCCCAUUUGGGAGUUUAUAACAACCUUAUUCUCACUCUUGAAUCUCAACCUUGGUUUUUUCUUCAUAAGCAAUUUACAUUAUUUUGUUCAUAGCUAAAUUGGAUGAAAUGUGAAAUUUUUUAGCAAAGCAAUGUCAAACUUCAAUUCCUGGGAGAUCAAUAAAGGCCAGCACUUAGCAAUAAUGGUUUUUGGUUGGGAUCGAAGAAAAAAAAGGUCACAGAAGCAAAAUUUCUACUGCUGCCAGGAUUCGAACCUGGUUAAUUAGCUUUACUUAAGCCAGUAUGAUAAGUGCUACAGCAGAUUUGUCCCUUGUUGCUUCCAAGAGUCGGUUUGACAUAGCUAUUCUUUUCCGUGGAAAAAAUUUUCAUCCAGUGACUAAGAUUGAGACGUCUAGACAUUAGAGAUUCUAAAUUUAAAUUCCUCCUUUCUCUUCCAUGUUUCUUGAAUUUCAUUCCUCUCAACUAGCCACUCAACAACAAAGAACCUGAUCUAGUUAGUUUGAUUAUGUAGCAAAUUAAAAGUAUGGGAGAAGAUAACUCGUAAAUUAGCUAAACUCAUUUCUUUCCCAUUUGCAUUUUGAAACUGAAGCCUAGUGGAACAGGAUAUAGUGGCAUGGGUGGUCUCCUAAUUAAUACUUCCUCCAUUCCAAUUAUUUUGUCAUGUUUCGAAAAUCUAAUUUUUUAAAAAUAGUACUUUGAUUGUAAUAUUUAUAUUUCUCUUUCUAAUUUUACCCUUAGAAAUUCAAAAUUUGAGUUUGAAUGAUAACAUGCAUAUAAUUAAAGAUAAGAAUUAUAAUGGAAGGAAAUACUAAAAAGUGUUUUGACUUUCUUAACAUAACAAAUAUUUUGAAACAUUCCAAAAUAAAAAAUAUGACACUUUCAAUGGGACAAAAGGAGCACGAGUUACCAUGAUAUGACCCACUAGACAUUUUUAUUAUUUCAUAAUGAGAGUACAAGAACGUAAUACAUAUAACUUUGAUGUGAUAUAACUCGACGAAGACUCGAAACGGGUUUAAACUAAAAUUUAAAAAAAAAAAAAAACUGGUAAGACUCCAUGCUAAAACAAGACAGGAGACCUAGGCUGAAUUGCUUAGAUGGUAAAUUCUAUAUGUGUUUAUCACAUCCAUAUUGCCCUGGCCUUGAUGAGCAAUGGCUUCAACUUACCCUGGACAUUGAGGUCCAUAACCUCGUUGGAACCACCAACAAAUUGCUUCCCUAUGAAAACAGCAGGUACACUUGGAUGGCAUCCUAAUGCUAGCAAUGCAUUCUCCAUUUCCGUUCCUACUGGAUGUUGAUCAAGCUCAUAAACAGUAGGAUUCGCCCCGAAACCGCAUAUCAGCAUCUUAAUAGCGUGGGAAAUGCCGCAGUUGCUCUUGCUGAAGAUCACCACUGGCUUUUCUGACCCCAAUCGCAUCACUAUAUCCAUUCUACUUCUGGCAAAAAUGUGAAAUCAAGAGCUAUAUAUGAAUGUGCUCCAGCAAUUGAGUUGAUAGGAAGUUAUAAGGCUUGCUUUGAGUGAAAACCUGAAGCGCAUGAAGGUAUAUAUAGAGGGCUGGCUGAGAAUGAUUGGUUGCAAUAUCUCUUUUUUGGAUAACAACAAAAGGGCUAUAAGAUUACUGUUGCAAAUUUGAUGCUUUGGGGGUCACAUCAACAGCAAUAUGAUAAAGGAUUGAUAUGAAUCUCAAGCUGCAUUAACAUCCUGGCAUUGGGUUUUCAUGCAGAAAAAGGAAAGUAAUCGACGAUAACAAUCUUUUUGCCUUUCCUUGAUGCUUAGUGCAUACGGAUACUACUGCUCAUGGAAUCGAUGCGGGAGUGGGGCAUGCAUUUGUGUUGUAUUUGGUUUAGUCCAGUUAUUAUGCAUGUUAUGAUUAUUGUUGUACAACCACAUAAUUUUAUUUAUUGUACCAAUUAUGUAUGAAAAUUUUAAAUUACGUAUAUCAACUUUUUCACGAAUACAACAAUAUAAUGCUAUUAUAUACCAAACAAUGUAAUAUGUAUAAUAAUCGCAAGAAUCGCAUGAAACCAUAAUUGCACAACCCAUGAAAAACAGUUUUUGUUUUAAGCUUUUUGUCCCAAAAUAUUACCAAAGAAAUGAUAAUUAUAUGCAAAGAUGAUCACAUAAUGGCAUGACUGAAGUUAAAGUUCAGCUCAAUAAGGUAAAAUUAGUUGCAGAGUUAGGACCUAAUGUUAGACAGGGCAAUUACUUUGAUGCAUAAUGAUACGGUACAAUUACGGCAAAAUUUUUUGUUGAAAAACUUUAAUAACUAGUAUGAUAAUUGUGUGAAUUUUGUUAAAAUUGUAUAGUGUUUCACAAUAAUAAAAAUUAGAUGACAAUUAUUUUUUCAUUCAAUAGACAACAAAAUCUUAACGAUUUUAUGUACCAAAAGUUUUAAAUUUUAUUUUCUGUCUAAAUUCUCAACUAAUACUUGGCCUCAUUUCAAGCAUUCCAUUAUUCAUAAAUUAAGUGAUAAUUGUAGAUUUCAAGAACUCAAAGGGGCAAAGUAAUGAAAUAUAAGAAAUUUUAAAAAAAUUUAGGGGUACAAAAAGGGUGUACUCGAACCGAGUCGAGCUCGAGUACUGCUAUACUCGAGCUCGAGCUUGAUCGAGUCGGAGAAUCUCAACUCGAGCUUGACUCGAGGAAAUUGUUAAAAGCUCGAGACUCGACUCGAUAAGGCUCGACCUUGAGUCAAGCCUUAUCGAGUCGAGUAAACUGAUCAAUCGAGUUUUUUUUAUCAAUCUCGUAAAUUCAGUAUAAAUUAUACCCAUAAUGGUCAUUUUAUAAUUAUAAUACAUACAUAUUAUUUAAAUUAUACUACUCGACGAGUAGCUCGUCGAGCCACGAGCUGCAAAAAUCCGGGCUCAAACUCGACUUGAACGUAUACUCGAGUAAGUCGAGACUCGGCUCGAACUCGGUUUGACCGAUUUCAAGCCAAGUCAUUGACCGAACUACUCAUGAGCAGCUCAGCUCGCGUGCAUCCCUAGGUGCAAUUAUAGGACAAAAUUAAAAUUUUAAAAUAUUUCCAAGCCUAUUUCAAAAUGCUUCAAAGUUGAGGGGAAGCAAUUGCAAACCCUCACUUGAAUGUGGCUCUACCACUGGCUAAAAUGACAAAAUAUUAAUAGGAACAAUUAUUAUGUAAUUUCCAAACCAAGCAUUGAGUUCCCUAAAGCCAAAGCCUUUCCUCGACAAUGUCGAACUCAAAAUUAUAAGAACAAGGAGAUUAGCAAUACUCUAUGAUAAGGGUUUAUUUUACGUAUUUUUGAGUGCAUUUUAUUAGUUAAUUCUGGUUCCAUUAUUUAGUUUUAUAACUAAAACAAUUAGGGUUUUGGUAAAAAUAUAUAUUUUCUAUUAAAGUGGCUAACAUUGCAUUUCUAUUGCUUUUAAGGGUAAAUACUUCAUUUUCUUGCAGGAUUAAUGAUUCAAUCAUCAAAGGGUAUGAAUGGAGAAGAAAAUCUGAUGAUUGGUGAUGAAUUAAAGUGUGUAAAGAAGAAAUGAAGUGAAAAACAUUUAAUUGAAGAAAUGCAGUUCGAGAUAGUUUCGACACUUUUCGGUAUUUCGACUAUAUCUGGAGCUACAUAUAUCAGAUUGAAGUGAUCUUUAUACCAUUUUGAAGCUAAGAGAUAGAUCUAUAUUUGGUAUGAAGAUAUCGAAAUCCAAUUCUGCUGUUUUCAUGGACAAAAAGUCGAAAUACAGAAGCUGCAUUCUAUGGACGAGGCUAAAACAGGGGUUUGACCAAGUGAUAGUAUUUCAAUCAUAUCUCAGUCUACAAAGAUCCGAUUUGGAUGAUGCUUGAAGCAUUGUAAAUCUAAUUCAAAGGGCUACAACUUUUGUGUUUUUCACAAAAGUUAUUUCGACCUCCAUUAUAGAGAAAAUCGCAGUUGAAGUGAGGCCAAUUUCACAGAGUUGAAAACGCGAGUUGAGAAAACGUGUCUUGAUGGCGCGUUUUGUCAAGUCGCGUUUUGUAGCCAAAAUUCUACAAUUUGCUCAGCCAUUUCUCUUGUAUUCAUACUACUUUCUAGCUAUAUUUAGCAAGAGAAUUCGGUUGCACAUGCUUCAGAAGAUAAAGGGCAGAAAAGAUGGCUUAUUGUCAAGUCAAAAACAUUUGUUAUUGACUAUCUUAACAAAUUUUAGAUUUGGGAAUCUAGAGGUGGAAAUUUGACUAAUGGAAAUGAGUUUUUGAGCUGUUUUUCCGCAGAGAAAAAUGGGGAAGUCAGUGGAGAUACGGACGGCAAUUUUCUGAUAAAAACACAUUCUCUCUAACUAACAAAAUUUGGCAGGCACACUUGGAGAUUUCAUCUUGUAAUCAUCUAGUGCAAGACAUAGCAGAAUUUUGGGAGCUUCACCAUUAACUUGGCUAAGCUUUUCUUUAUCCUUCUUGUAAUUGUAACUCAUGAUGUUUUCCAUUAAUGAAGUUAUGAGUUUGAUUAUUUUAUCAUUCAUGAGUAGCUAAUUUUCUAUAUCUAGGGAGUAGAUGAAACUUAUGGCCAAGUGAUAUAAAUUGAAUGUAAUUUACACUUGUUGUAUCUUGUAUUAACUUGUCUUCUUGUGCAGAUUGAUUACUUAUUGUUGUUUGAUCACCAUUAGCGGGUCAUUAGUUGCUAUUACUCAAUGAAAAUUGGUAAUGAUAAUGGAAUAACAUAAGUAGACCUUGAGUUGUAGGUUCAUGAGAAUAGAAAUACAUUCAAGUGGAUUAAUUUCAUGCAUGAACAAGAGCAGUUUUAGUUUUAAUCAAGAGAUUAGAGAAAUCUAGACUGUUCUAAGCCUUAUUAUCAUGAGAAUGAAAUUUUGGCAAUUUUGGAAAUGAAUCCCUAGUUAAACAAGAGUAGUAACAAGUAUUAAAUUCAUUCAUUUCGAUCUUUUGUGCCAUAAGUGGAAUCUACAUCCCUAGAUUCAAGUUUUUAGUGAAUUUUCUCCAAUUGUAACUUGCAUUUAUUAAAUCAGAUUAUAGACAGUAGCAAAUAUAAUUUUUCUGCUCAAUCUCAUUAUAAGUCUAAAUAAUAGAGAAAAUAAGGACCUAGUACUUGUAGACAUUGCUCCUCGUGGGAUCGAUCCGAUUAAUGCACUAAACUACUAGUUUGGCCUGUAUACUUGCAGUCAACGGGUAUAAAUUAGAAUUAAACUUACACUUAUAUCAAAAACCCGUCACUCUCAAAUAUGGUAUGGAAAGACUAAUUUACAUAUACAAAAUUAUGAGUGAAAAAAAUUACAAAAUCUACAAUACAUUACUAUCAAACAUUGAAAUUAAGACCCUACAACUCUUACUCUUCUCAAACAAAUACAAUAACAAGGCACUUUACUUAUAAUUCAUCAGUGAUAAACAAGAAACAACCACCACAAGAAAUUACCUAAAUAGAGUAUUAUUCAAACUGCUAGAAAUAAUUGACUUGAGUACUACUCAAACUACUAGAAGUAAUUGACUUGACCCAAAACCUACUAAUAAAAAAUUUUGAAUUUUAUAAUAUAAUUAGACUUGUUUUAAUAUGCGAAUAGGCAAUAUGAAUUUUACAAAUCUGGCCAGAAAUAUUAAAACAAUUUUUCUAAAAUAUCCCUCUUAAUAAAAAGAGAAAAGAUUUUAUUAUUUAGCUAAAUGAAUCAUCCCUCAACCAAUAUAAGGAAUCUCCCUCUUCAACAGAAAUAAUAAUAAUAAUAAUAACAAUAACAGAUUUUUUUUAUAUAUAUAUACGUUAAAAUUUGUUCCAAAGUGGCAAAAUUAUGAUAAAGCUGAUCCAGAAAGUGAUCUACAAUAGAACUAGAUAAUUCUCCACCCAUCCAUUUCAAGAAACAGCACACAAUCUUCGAGUAAAUAAUUAACCAUGAAUGAUGAGCACGUAAUUGAUCCGUACAAAAAGGACGAAGAUGGUAUCAAGAUUAAUGGCUCCAAACUGUAGCAGAUUCUCCGUUUUGAGCAAUUUUCUUCUUUAUAGCUAAGAAUAUGCUUUCUUGAUUUUCUCCACAUGAUCAUAUUGUCUUUGCCAUCUUAUCAUAUAUUCCUUGAUCAUAUAUGUAGAUGCUUAAUGGAGCUAAAGGUCGGUUCUGUAAUCUUUUUGAAAUUAGAUUAAAGGGCUGAGGAUGAAGCCCUCAUGCUGUCAUGCAUAAGGUGCAAAUCUAAAUAUUUUGAUUUUGAGCAUCUUAAAGUUGAUCAAAUCUGUUCUUAAGAACUAAACAAGGAGAAGAAUGAAAUGGGAAAAAGACAAAGAUUAAUCUUUAGUACAUUGUCAAAGUAAUGAUUUAUUUUAUACUAACAGAUUUAGAUGCAACUCUUUAUCGAAUUUGAAAUCUUCCUUUUGCAAAUUCUAUCAUGCAUUCACGUUUUUGUAAAAAAGCUUUUACAAUGACAGUAAAAGAAAAAACAAUUCAUAACAAAAUGCUUGCAUUGCAAAUUGAAGCCUAUUCUCAAACAAGAAAAAAAAAAAAAAAAAAGUUCCUUGACGGUAUAUGAUAUCCACUGUCUUGUAAUUGAACUCUUAUAUAUGAAUUUUCCACCUUGUUAAACAGUUAACCUUGAGACCCGUAAAAGAUAGGUAUAGUGUAGAUUUAAAUUCAUGUUCACUAUUGGAACAAAAUCCACGUUGACCCCAAUAUCUACAUUAACCAUAUAUGAUCAUGAAAUUCUUAAUUCGACUCUCAAACUCUCCAUUUUAUUUUGUUUUUUUUUCAAGGCUUGAAAUCUCCCUUGAAUUAAAAACAAACAAAUAUAUGGAUAUUGAGUCUUCGAGUGCUCUUGUUAAUGCUAAUGUUGAUAUGGAAUCUGGUGUCCUGAGCAAAAUUGUGGUUAAUAGCUCUCAUUCUAUAAAUAUUUCAGUUGACGAUCAUGUGAAUCAUGUUCAAUCUCCUCCUUUGCUGCAUGAUAUAUAGUCUUAAGUUUUUUAUUGAUACUGGGUAGGGAAUAGGGAUCAAAUAUUUCUGAUGCAUCUCUUGUGUAGGUUAGGUCUGAUGAGGGUGCUUGUAGUAACUCUCAGGUGGAUCCUUUUUGGCUGACUAAUGAUUUAUGGCAAAUGAAUCUGGUUGGUAAUUAUUCCAGUAUUUCACAAAGUGCCAAUAAUGAUAACAAUGAAGAAGAUCAUUAUUCACAAAAUGAAAGGGAUGAAGCCUUUAGUGAAAAUUAGUUUAUCCCAAUAAUUUCAAAGAAGGUCAAGGGACAGAAGGGAACAUUCAGAGUCUAGCAAGACAAUGCAAACACAAUAAAAGUUUAAGAUUAAUUUUCUAUACACUGACAGUGUAUACACUUUUACCAUUAGAUGCAUGAUACAUAAUUCGAAUUUGAAUUUGAAACUCAAAUAUUGUAUAUGUAUCAUAUAUCCAAUCGUGAUAGUGUAUACACUGUCAGUGUAUAUAAAUUUAUUCAAAAGUUUAAAUAAAAAACUCAAACCAAUCCAUUAUACUACAAACGUGGAGCGUGUUGAGAUUAUUUAUUAUUAAAAUUUGUCAAGUUUACAUUUAGUCAAACUCGGAGGUAUAUACCUAAUUUUUUAUGAGAAAAAAAAAUAUAAAUAAUCCCCCCAAAAGAAAGCUAUUUGAUUACCACUAUUGCAACUUAGACACAUAACCUUUAUCCUCUUGGGACUUUAACCUAUCACAAGGCUGACAUCGUUCAUAACUAAAUGGUUAUUAAUUAUUUAACCUUUCCCCAAAAAAAGUGCUUGAUUUUUAAACUUUCUCUACAAAUCAGCUUUGGAAAAAUGUGCACCACUUGUAGCAAUGUGCUUUUCUCACCAAUUCCACAAAUAAGUGGAGCCCAAAGUUUUCAUUUUUCCUUUUUUUUUUUUUGGUUCCAUUCUUGACCUUUAGUGACCAAAAAAGGUGUAUGGGGCGGAGGGAUUCACAGCAAUUAAGAGUUGAAAAUGGCUGGAGUUUAUUAGUGCUCUUAGUAUCUCUAAAGAGGAAACUGGAAUUGACUGUUCAAUUGACAGCAAUAAGAGCUGAACUUGAUGUAUCAUUGCUAGGGAAAAAUAUGCCCUUUCCUUUCAGGUUUUAAGUAACCAUUUCUCUCAAAUAGCAAAAAUUUGAGAACAUUACUUAUAACUAAACCAUUUCUUCUCCAUGACACUGUAAAUCUAAAGAACUUGGUAAAGUUUAAUCAAUUAAUUAGCAAAGCAAAAGUAUGAGAGAAGAUAAAAAUUGGCUGAACUCAAUUCUUUUCCAUUGUCACUUUAGAACUAAAACGUCACAGAAACAAGGAUCGAUCAAGUGGCAUGGACUCCUAAAUAUGAGUUACCAUGACCACUAUAACAUUUUAAAGACUCAAAACCGGUUAAUACUGAAAUUUAACAAGACUGGUAGGAGUGCAUGCUAAACCUACAUUCUCCUUUAGAUGGCUUUCUUCAAUUAAAAGACAAAACAAGAAAGAAAAGUUUCAGUUCGAUGGUAAAUUCUAUAUGUGACUUCUACAUCCAUAUUGCAUUGGCCUUGAUAAGCAGUGGCUUCAACUUGCCCUGAACAUUUAGGUUCAUAACCUCAUCAGAACCACCAACAAGUAGUUUCCCUAUGAAAACAGCAGGAACAGUUGGAUGGCAUCCUAAUGCUAGCAAUGCAUUCUCAAUGUCCCUUCCUUCUGGAUAUUGAUCAAGCUCAUAAACCGUGGGAUUUGCCCCGAAGCUGCAUAUCAACAUGUGAAUAGCAUGGGAUAUGCAGCAGUUGCUCUUGCUGAAGAUCACCACUGGCUUUUCUGAACCCAAUCUCUUCACUAUAUCCAUUCUACUUUUGGCAAAAAUGUGAAGUCCUGGGCUAAAUGAUGUGCUCUAGUAUUUUACUUCAGAGGAAGUUUGAGGCUUGCUUUGUGUGAAACCUGAAGUUCUUGAAGGUAUAUAUAGAGGGCUGGCUGGCUCCGGGCUAGUGAUGGAAGAUUUAUAACAUUUUUCUUCACAAAAUAGCAAAAGGGCCGCAAGAUUUUGCUUGGAAAGUUGAUGCGUUGGGGUUCAUAUCAGCAGGUACGUGAGAAAAGGAUUGAUUUGUAUUCCCUACUAUAGAGUAUCACAAGUUGCAUUAGCAUCCUUGCAUCGGUUUCUCAUGCAGAAAAUGGAGAGCGGUAGGUGAUAGAUAAGCAAGUAAGAAUCUUUUACCUUUACUUGAUGCUUAGUGCGGACGUAGUACGGCUCUUGGAUUCCAUACAUUCGUCAAAUUUGGGGGAAAAUAUCAGUAUUGUACAAGGAUUUUUUUUUUAUUUGGGCUUUCUUCGUUUUCUUCCUGGAGAGCAUUACAAAAUAUAUAUAUAUAUAUAUGAACCUUUUUUUUUUUGUUAAUGGUUCUUGUCACAACCAUGAGUCAUAGCAUGCCUCCAGGACCAUCAAUGGCUUAUAGAAGUACUUACAUAUUAUCCACCAAGGCAACACUCUAAUAUUUGUAGCAGAACUCGAACACACUCAACUUUUUUGCGAAUAAUUAAUCCGCCCUUAAUAAUUGAUCCAAUGUAUAUUUCCACGUAGGAAUAUAAUAGUUGUAUGCAAGACAAGCACAUAUUAGCAUGAGUGAACUUGAAGUAGCUUGAGAGGACAAAGGACUCAUAAGUUGAGUUUAGUCAAGUGCAAAUCAGCUCCUAUAAUUUUUAUGAUACUUAGUAUAAAGUUAUAUGUGUUUGGUAUAACUGCCAAUUUAAUUGUAUAAGUUGACAAAUUCAAUUUACCCCUAUGUUGUUCUCAAAAGCCAAAUCCCUUUUUGGGCAAUGUCAAUAGUACAAAACUGGCCAGAGAAGAUGAAACGAGAGAUGGACUUCUCAGAACAAACAGAACAUUAUUCCUUCAACUGUGUGGUGCAGGGGAGGGAUUCCCUUUCAAGUACUAAUGCUACCUUUAUUCUGUCUUUUUUAUACAGCUUGGACCACUGAUUAAAAGAGAAAAAAGAAACCAUUGUUUACCAGUUGAUUCAGCCCUUGAUUACUAACAAAAAGGAAUCCCCCUCUCCAAAAGAAAUGAAAAAGAAAAUCAUGAUAAGAUCGGAUAAUUGGGCACCCAUCUUUUUCAAGAAACAGCAUACAUUCCUUAACCAAGCCAUUUAUGAGCAUGGUAUCGAAAUCCGUACAAAACGAAGAAGAAGGUACCGAGAAGGACUGUGCAGCCUUUGGAGGAUAGCAGAUUCUCCAUUUCUGAGCACUAUUGUUCUCUAUCACAAAGAAGAUGCUUUCUUGAUUUUCUCCGCAUGACAAAUGGAUUAAACAACCUGGAUCCAACUAUGUCUUCUUUCCCAUCAUAUCAGAUACCCUUUGACAUGGAAACUUAGGUUCACUUGGAGUUGGGGUGCAUUUACCAAAAAAAAAAACUUUUAAGCAGUAAAAAUACUUUCAGGGUAUUCGAUAACUAAUUUUUCGUAAUUUAAGCUGCCCAACUUUUGUUUGUUUGACAAAAAAAAAAAAACUUCUGUUGAAAAUAUUUGUGUAACAAGUGUUUCUUUAUAAUUCACCAUAACCCCAAACCCAAACGAGACUUAAUGAAGCUAAUUAUCAGUUCUUGAACUUUUUGAAAUAAGGUUAUAAGGGGCCAAGGAUGGAGCUUUUAUCAAAUCCACCUCCACCUUGUUAAAGUAUACAAAUUUUUUUAAAAUUUUGUUAUACUACAAUUUUGACCUUAGGCAAUUUGGAUGAGUGCAACUCGUGCAAUAGAAUAUUGUGAAGAUAUUCAUUUCCAAAUUAUCUCAAGCACCAGAUUUCACUUUGAAGCCUCGAGCCUGAUAAAAUAUAAUAUUAAUCACAUAUAUGCUGAUAGUAUAUGUGCUAUCAUCCAUGAUAAUUUAUCUAAAUUUGAAUUUGAAAUCCAAUUUUUACAUAUAUUUUAUGUAUCUAACUGUAAUAUUACAUACAUUAUUGAUACAUAUAAGAUUUACUCAAAAAUAUAAAGUAGCACAUUUGUUCUGUUAUUCCUGAGCAUCUUAAAAUUGAUCAAAUAAUUGUUUUCAUUUUUUUUCUCUCAAGAACAAAAUCCGCAUUGUCGAGCCCCAGCAUCCAACACUUGACAUUCUAACAUCAGAAAGUCACGUCACAGUGCCAACAGCAACUUGCAUUCUUAUCUUUGAGCGUGCAAAUGACAGCAAUUCUCCUCGAGUUAGUAGAAGAGAAUCAAACCUUGAGAGUUGGCUCGGGUGGUUUCGGGUAGACUAGUUAGGUCCCGAAAUCGUAUGUUCGAAUCACCUCUCUAUCGCUUGUAUAUCCUUGAGAGGCGGGGUGCACAGGCGUAAGGAAAUUAGUCUGGUAAAAUUGGGAUACUCCCUGUAUUAAAAAAAAAAAAAAAAAAAAGUAGAAGAGAAUCAAAUGAUGGUUGGGUACCCUCCGUCAAGAAAUUAAAGACUGAAAUGGUGGAAGAAAAAGGUAACAAAACCUGGGACAUAAGAUUGUAUCUUAUAUUACAAGCUAGAAUACUACAGAUAAUUUCCACUUUUGAAGUUUGUUCUGCAAAAAAAUUCUCCUUUCAUUUCAAUGUCUUGCAUACUUUGGAAAUCUUGGAUCCUUUUUUACAAUCAAUCAUCCAUAAUCAACCACGAAUUAAAGCUUGUGGAAUUUAAGAAGAUGCUUGCUUUAUUUCGAAGUACAUUAAACAAUAGGAGAAAUACCUAUUUUCAUCCCUAAAUUUUGAGUUAUGGACGCAUUUCUUCCUCAAAUUUUAACCAAUUUUAUUUUAAACACAUUUCUGACAUAACACAAAUAUUUAGUAUCUGAACUAUCAAUUUUUAACCAAUUUUAUCCUCAAAUGGGAAACUAAUUAGUAAUUUGAACGGAAAUUAGACACCUGACGAAUAUGAACCUCUUGACUGAAAAGCCUUGCAUGACUUAAAAUUAGCAAAAUAGGAUGGCUAUUUUUACUCUCCCAAUUUCAAUUUCCAUUCAAAUUGAUCAAUUUCUUGUUUGAGGAUGAAAUUGGCCAAAAAUUGAUAGUUCAGAUACUAAAUGUGUUAUGCCAGAAAGUUUGAGAACAAAAUGUAUCCAUGACCCAAAGUUUAGGGAUGAAAACUGGCAUUUUCCCUUAAACAAUAUGUAUUUUGAAACAAUUUAUGUAUUUUGAUAUUGGCAUUUCCCUAAGUAAAUUACAGCAAAAGUUCAAGCAUCGCCUAAUAGAACAUACAACAAAUCAAAUGAAAUUGAGAAAAAUCUCGUAGGAGGAGGGAUGGGGUUGUGAUCUUUAAAGCAGAUCAUUUGACCACAUGAAGUGGUUUAUCUAAUGUUUCAACUCCAUAUGCCCAUAACCACAGGAAAUUAGAAAAUUUGGAGCAAAACCAACAGUAAUAGCCAAUGACAUGUAGCACAUUCCCGCACCAUAUUAAUUAACAUGAAACUAAUUAAAUUUCAAAAGUUUCAGGUAGAUAAAAUUAACGGUAUCAAGAUCCAAAAAGGAAAAGAAUAAUCCAUGCACAGUGCUGUGCUAUCAAAAGUUUGCCUAUAAUUCUCUUUUAAGACAUGAAAAACAGAAAUUUUCAAUCAAUCAGCCACUUCUUACAUCUCUAUAAAACAGACCACUAUCCCAAAGUUUUUAAGAAUAAUAGCUUCAUGAUGAUGUCAAUGAAUUUGUUUCCAAAGUUACUCUCUAACAUACAAAUUUUAAAUUUGAAUUUAGUAUGAAACAUGAACAAAGGUGGGAAUAACAUUAAAAAAAAAAAAAAGGGGAUUAAAAGUAACUUUGACUAUACUAAAAUAACAAACAUUUUGAGACAUCCAUUUCUCAAAAUAGAAAGCAUAAUAUUUUCAAUGGACGGAGGAAGUAAUGAUUAACAAGAUGAGAUGUUUUAGCAAAGACACAAGCAAAGCUACUGAGCACACAUCGAAACGGACAUGGAAGUGCAGGUAAGCCACAGAAGAGGAUAAACUAGAUGAUGAAGAUCUCCACCAGCAGGCUGCAGCUCAUGCAUUUUCCAUCUGUUUACUGAAGCGUUUAUUCUGAAAACGCAGAUCUUAGAAGUUGCUACAGACCAUUCUCAGAAAUUUUGUUCCAAGGAUCUCAAAUUUCAUGACAGGCAAGAAAUUUAGUUGGAUCAGCGAAUAGAAACAAUUGACGGCAGUUCAGGUGAACUUAUCCAUUCACCUAUAAGAGCUUGAAACAAAGAUCAUCACAUUUAAAAACAGAACAGAUCAAAAAAUUCACGGAACUACAUGCACAAGACUUGUUGCAGAAAAAGAAGAUAUAUGUAUAGAAAUCAUUAAUCAUAUAAAUCUAUCAGCAGAGUCGAAAUAACUUACUUGAAAAAAAAAAUAAAGAAGGAAAAAGUAAAGGACAAGCAAUGUCAUGUCUAGAAAUCAUUAAUCAUAUAAAUCUAUCAGCAGAGUCGAAAUAACUUACUUGAAAAAAAAAAUAAAGAAGGAAAAAGUAAAGGACAAGCAAUGUCAUGUCUAACAUUACAAUGUAAAAAGAGAACAAAAUUGUUGCUUCAGGCCCAAAUUUGAUACAUGUUUUCAGCAACAUCGACGUCACAAACACUACAUUUUGACAAAGGAUCAGUCAUCCCUAUUGAACUGAAGUUGGAAUGACGGAGUUAUAAUGCUCACCAAGCCCAAAUGCAUGCCUAUGGUAUGACAGCAUAAUACUUUUAUUGGAUAAGCCA
rnacentral:lncRNA from 1 species